UAAAAAAAAAAACGUACCGGAAGACUUAAAGAAAGACUUCCGGAACACACAUAAUACAUACCGGAACACUUCUCCAAAGAGUUCCGGUAUGCAAAAUUUGUUCACCGGAACUCUUUUAAGAAGUGUUCCGGUUUUGACUUUUUUUUUAUUUGAACCGGAACUCUUUCCUUAAGUGUUCCGGUUUGUUUUUUUGUGUGUUUCGGAAGUCAUUCCUAAAGUCUUCCGGUUUGGAAAAAUACAUAUCUGAAGUCUUUUUGCAGGAGUUCCGGUGCGGAAAACUUUACUUUAUACCCCUACAUUUAUCCAUGUACCCCUACAUUUUAUAAAAAAUACCAAUUUUACCCCUACAUUUUAUAAAAAGUACAAAUUUUAUCCUUAUAUAUUUUUAACUAAUUUAUUAUUUUAUUUUUAAAUAUUUUUUAAAAUUUAUUUUGCGUACCGGAAGAGUUUCCAAAAGAGUUCCGGUAGUAUUUUUUAACUUUUCUUGUGUGUACCGGAAGACUUUGCAAAAGAGUUCUGGUACACAAAAAGUGACUACCGGAACUCUUUUGUAAAGUCUUCCGGUAUACAAAAAAAAAUUAAAAAAAAAAUGCUUGAAAAAUGAGUACCGAAACUCUUUUCCAAAGUCUUCCGGUACACAAAAAUUGACUACCGGAACUCUUUUCCAAAGUCUUCCGAUACACACAAAAAUAUUAAAAAAAUACUUGAAAAAUGACUACCGGAACUCUUUUGCAAAGUUUUCCGAUACACAAAAAUUGACUUCCGAAACUCUUUUGCAAAGUCUUCCGGUACACAAAAAAAUAUUUUAAAAAAUACUUGAAAAAUGACUACCGGAACUCUUUUCAAAAGUCUUCCGGUACACAAAAAUUGACUACCGGAACUCUUUUGCAAAGUCUUCCGGUAUACAAAAAAAUAUUGAAAAAAUGUUUGAAAAAUGACUACCGGAACUCUUUUGUAAAGUCUUCCGGUACACAAAAAUUUUAUUUUAAAAAAUUAAAAAUAAAAUAAUAAAUUAGUUUAAAAUAUAUAAAGAUAAAAUUGGUAUUUUUAUGAAAUAUAGGGGUGUAGAGAUAAAUGUAGGGGUAUGAGGUAAAAUUUUCUCCGGUGCGAGGGAUGUGAAAGUGUAAUUUUUGCAAUUUUUAACUGAAUGGUAAAAAUGAAAUGGUAAAUUGGUUAAAACCAAUUAAGGAUAAAAUGGGAAUUUUUAAAUUUUUGUAGGGGUAUGGGGUUAAUUGUAAGAGUACAAGGUAAAAUUUUCAAGAAUAGGUUGAUUGGGAUUUUAAUAUCAUACGAACUUUUAUUAGUCCAGCUCAUAAAUAAGCUAGCCUCGUUGCUUAUUAUAACAAGUAUAAUUCAAUGUAAACUGAACAGCAUACUUAAAGCCUAGUAUCCUGGCAAAUCUAUAAAGAAAAAUAUGAGAUUCAAACAGAUUUUUUCAGCAAAAAACUUAUAACACUUCAAAAUGAAUAAAGAAAUCAUCAACAAUAAAUUACAAGGCAAACUUGUUUGGUAAAUUUUAAAUACCAAUUGCUCAUUUACAUUGAUCAAUCUAGUUGAUUUUACACUAAAUAAAACAAAUUAACUUUGGUACAUGCGAAUGGCUAGCGAUCAAAAAAAUUUAAAAACAAAAAGCAACUAGAAAAGGUUCCUGACUUGUUGUGAACAUUCUCAAUUUCAAAGAGUGGAAAAUUCAACCCAGCUCAAUUUACAUUCAGUAACUCUUGCCUGGAAUGUAAAACCAUAUUGAAUCCCGCUAAUAACGCUGAACGGUCUAAACAUAUCAGCUUCAGCCACCAGAUAGUCGUGAAACUGAUGAAAUAACUUAUGGAUCGCCAGGAGGUAGAAUGAUCCAUUAUUCAACGCUAUCAGCUACAAUUGGUGGAACAAAUCUACCAUUCUCAAGUGUUUGCUCAAAGAUAUGUCCCACUCUCAGCAGCUCUCCCUGCAAAUAAAUUCCAAGCCAAAGAAUGAUUCUAUUGGUCAAUGACAAAAAACAGUCUUUCAUGACAAUGUCGAUCAAGUGCACUUUUCUAUGACAAAAACGAAGCCAAGCACGAAUCACGUAUAGUAAUUCGUUUUUGAAGAAAACUUGAAUUUCAUUAACGAGGUUCUUUUUACUGUUUUCCUUUUGAAUUUUCCUAACCAUUCGGUUCACUAUCUGUCAUCGUGGAGCGCCAGUUUUAGGCCUGGUUUGGUUAAACAACUUAAUUACAUGCUUAUUAUGUAUGUGUUAUGUAUAAGUUAUUUCUAUAACAAAAGAUAAAAUAAAGUCAAACUGUUUUCGUGUAAUGUUUUUAUAAGCUAUCAUGGAAACCUUAUAGAAGUAAUCUGAAAGUAGCUUAUGAACAAUAAGUUGUUUCCAUAACAACAUGGCUUUAUUUUUCUUAAUAUAUGGCCGUGUUAAAUCUUCUUCAAAUUAAAGUGCAAAUAAUCUUUAGGUCACAACCAUUUGCCUCUUUAAUACUCUGAAGAAAGGAAGACUAGAAAAGAAAACAAAACUAGAGGAUACAUAGAAAGGGAAACUCAAUACCUCAUGAAAUGCUGCACCAAUCAUUUGCAGGCCAACAGGAAGGCCUGCAGUUCCAUUCUCAAUAAAUCCACAAGGUAAAACCAAGGCAGGCAGUCCAGCUAGGUUGACAUUUACCUACAAAUAGAGAAACAGCCAAUAGAGAAGGGAAACUUUAUACUUGGCAUGUUCAUGUAAAUAAAGUAGCUAGAAAUGAAAUUACAAACAAUUCACAAAGAAUAUCAAACUCUAAAUCACCGGGUAAUUAACUAGUUUUCUUCCAACUUAAUAAAAAUAUAUUAGGAUCUUUAUAUUUAUUGUAUAGGGUUCCUGUAUAGACAUAUCUAUCAUAUCACAUCUUGUAAACAGGAAAAAUAUCUCAUACUUUAAUGUUGUAUUUAUUGCUUUGAAUUGAACCUUAUAAAAACCGACUCUGCUGUGUAGUUGAGACACAGACUCACAACAUCAUGGCUCUAUUUUUUCUAGUUCAACACAACUUAUGUGGAAUAAUGACAUAACUUGGCAGGGAUAUAUUCCUUUGCAGAGUAACUAUAAUUCACAAUACUAUAUAAUUGACACAUGUUAAGGCACUAAUACAAUACAACAGCCCUGCAGUUAAUGGUUAAUGAAGAUAAUUCUGAGACCGUUUAGAUCAAUGUUGUUAAAUAGCCGCUAUAUCGGCUUUCGGGCUAUAGUGUAGCGGAAUUUGGACAAACUACUAUUGUUCUGCAAUAUGCCAUGAAGUACAAAAUGUUGUUAAAUAGCCGCUAUAGCGGCACAAUAGCACUAAUGCAUACCGGAAUUUUAACAAUAUGUAAUUGGCAACACUGGUUUAGAUUGAAUAUCUAUUAUCUAAGGCAUAAACAAGCAGUGCUGCGGCCAGCUCAAUGACUCAAACUCUAAGCUUUAGUUACUCAUGUAUGAAUCAGAGUUAUCGAUAGCGGCGGCGCUAUCCCGGGAUAGCGGCGGCGCUAUCCCGGGAUAGCGACCCGGAGCGAUGACCCUCCGCUAUGGAGGAGCGGUUCGCUUCUCAAUUUGGAAUAGCGGCCGCUAUUUGAUGUUAGCGGCGGCGCUAUCCCGGGAUAGCGGCGGCGCUAUCCCGGGAUAGCGACCCGGAGCGAUGACCCUCCGCUAUGGAGGAGCGGUUCGCUUCUCAAUUUGGAAUAGCGGCCGCUAUUUGAUGUUUAAAGGGUAGCAGGAGUGGAGCGCUUCCCGGCCUGAGCAGGUUUGAACUGUUUUGAACGCGAAAACAAUCCAAUAGUGGUUAUGCCACUAUCCCAUUUUUGGGGUCGGCCGCUCCGCUCCGCUAUCUGGGAUUGAUAACUCUGGUAUGAAUCAAGCUUAAGUUCCAUGGAGUCUAAAUUGAAUAGCACAAAUCCAAACCUCGUCCAAACACUGUCUAGCUCACAUUCAAUUAGAAGUAUGAGACAGAAAUUUAGCCAAUAAGAAGAAUGAAAUACUCACAGUCAUGAUGUCACCAGCAUACAUAGCCAAAGGAUCAUUUUUCUUUUCACCUGCAAAUCUCAAAGACAAUGAAACAAUUACUACUGCGGGGACUAACUUGCAAUUAUGCCAACGGAGUGAUAUGCAGAUGCCUACCAAUUUUAUAAGCGGCUGAAGGAGCUGCAGGGGAAAUCAAGAUAUCAUAUUGAUCCAGUGCCUCUUUAAAGCUAUUCCUUAUAAUGGUUCUCACCUGCGAUAUAUAACACACAUAAAACAUCUUGAAGUUCCCAAACCUUUAAAACAAACACUUACAACACACAUAAAACAUCUUCUUGAAGUUCCAAAACCUCUAAAACAAAAACUUAGAAUAUCGAUAAGACAACCUAGGAAAUGAAGCAAUAGUUUAACUAUCACAGUAAUAUCUAUAUUUAGUAACAUUAUAUUCUAAAAGACACAGACAAGAGUGGACAUAUAGUGUGUGUGUGUGUAAAGACGUGAGAGUAGUAUUUAUCUGAGUCCUUGGGUGAAGACUUAGAAUAUCUAUAUUUAGUAACAUUAUAUUCUACAUGUAUUUAUCUGAGUCCUUGGGUGAAGACUUGAGAGGUAGAUCAGUCCUACAAUAAAAACAUAAAAUUAACUAAGCAGUACCUGCUGUGCUCGCUUGUAAUAUGCAUCAUAGUAACCAGCUGAAAGGGCAUACGUCCCCAUCAAAAUUCUCAUUUUCACCUGAAAUGUAUAAAAAAUAGAAAGCCAACUCAAAAGAGGAAUAAAUACAAAAAUGGACUAUUUCUUUUAUAUAGUUAUAUGUAAGGCUAUCAAAAAUCUUGCAGCCAAAUUUGAAAUUAAGAAAGGCUCAAGGGGGUGCACCUCUGAACCUAACCCUUUGGCUCGGGAAUCUCCAUAAAGAGAGCCUAGCUCUUCAGCAUAAACUUGGUUUCCAUAUCUAGAUAUAGAGGAGAUGGAUCCAAGCCAAGCAAAAUGGUUUGUCAAAGAAAAUAAAGCACACAAAAUAAAACAGUGUUGAGUUGUGUGUAUAUUUGGACGAAGAGAGAGAAGGAUACACGGGGAGUCAGCCACUGACCUAAUACCAUCAUAGCGAGACAAGUUGGAAGAUGAUUCAGACAAAGCGAGGAUAUAGUAAGCUGGCAAUCCAAGCGAAAAGGGUGGCAGCGACACCUGUAAGUUCAUGGACAAAUGAAAAGGAUGAAUUAAUAGACGAAUAAAUUGUAAUAAUAUGAGCCUGUAGAGUAACUACAGAAACUAUCAUUCAGAUUAGAGUUAUAGAAAAAUGAAGUGAAGGACCUCAUUAACCGUGCAUCCUAAUUCCUCAAAAUGGGAAGCAGCAGCACGAAUUGUAGAAACUACUCCAGCCUCAACACCAUCUUCAAUAGUUUCACGGAUCAAACCAACUCUCAGCCCUUUCAAGGGCUUACUUUCAAAAGAACUUGCAGAGUCAAAAUGAGAUAGAAAGUUGGGCACCUCCUGAAAAAUUAUAUUAUUAUUAAUUAUUCAUUGUUGAAAAGAAAUUGGUAUAAUAACAAAGAAAAAAAAAGCAUAAACACUAACAACAAAUUCAGCAAAUACCUAUCAUAUUGAACAGAGAUUAUACCAAACAUUGUCAAUAAUCAUUGUGAAUAAUGAGAUAUUAGAAACCUACAACAUUUAUACUAAACAUGGUCAGAACUUAUACCUGUUUACUUGAGGUGGCAUCAAAUCUAUCAUGACCAGCAAUUGCAUGAAGGAGAAUCCCAGUAUCAGCGACCGAUGAACCAAAGCAGCCAAUGGCAUCAAGGGAUGAUGCAUACGCCAUAAGUCCAAAUCUUGAGACACGCCCAUAUGUUGGCUUCAAACCUACGACGCCGCAAAAAGAUGCUGGCUGCCUCACACUUCCGCCAGUAUCACUUCCCAACGAUACAACACACUGCCUGGCAGAAACUGCAGCUGCCGAUCCUCCAGAUGAUCCUCCCGGUACCCUAGAAACAUCCCACGGGUUGGCAGUCACCUAUUGAAUGAACAUAGGUAUCACCUGAGUAAACAUAUUCCAGUUACAAAUGGGCGAUACAAGUAAUAAACUAGAAACCAAAUUAUAAAAGCUUAGCCUACCCACUCACAGAGAACAAAAGAACACAAUUCUACUUUUUGUAUAUUUUGCAAUAACAAAAAUAUAAAUUUAGCACUAUAUGGAUCCAAAUGCACCGCUUUAUGCGUCUAUCGGGUCACUCAUCGACAAUUUUCAGCUGACCCGGUUCCUCUACAAUCUCUCUCUAAAUCCCACAGUCCCUACAGGGGAUCCAAUAGGCAAUUUUAAUUCUUCUCAUUUUCUCUCCUAAACAAAUGUAGAAUGCCUGCUCACGAGCUUAAUUCAAUUGCUAAACACAAGUUAUCUGAAACAAGUAACUACAUAAUGUCACCACUCACAGCUUCUCACAUUCACUACCAAUACUACAAACUGGGUAUGUCAUUUGAAAUUUGAGAGGAAACAUUCUUAGAUACACCUAGACACUGUUCUUUAAUCAUGCCACUCAAUGCGCGCGACAUCAGCCAAGUGGAUCAUAAAUCGUCAUGAUUUCUCACCAACACUGAACCCACACUAAUGUAUCUAAGAAUCUCCCAUAUAGAAAACAUCAACAACAAUAAAAUAUAUAUCUUAAAAACCAAAAAAAUAAGGUUAGUAUAUAUACUCAAUUUAAAUUCAGCAUGAAUGGCCCCUCAAACCGGAAAAGAAAAGCACAUUGAUCUUUAAAAUCAACACAAAAAAAAACUACCAGGUAAAAAGAGAACAAACGGAAAUGCACUACAAUACAAAGCAAAAAAAAAUGAAAUGGAUUUUCUUUUGUACCUUCAAAUAUUGUAGAGUUCCCGAACCCCCACGAACUAUAUGAAUUCUAAGGAUUUAAAAACUCAAUCAUUUAUAUAAGCAUUGACAGAGGAAUCCACUUAACCCAUAUGUACUGAGAUAGGGGAAGAAAAGUAUGCAAUGCUAAAACAAAAUGCACAGGGCUCAGAGAUCAGAAACCCCACAACUCAACAUCCAAGGUUUUAAAACACUGCGAAAACAAACUGUAUCAGAAGGUGCAAAUUCCAAUAUUUUAAGAAAAGAAAAACAAAUUAUGAUUAAUUCAUACAGCGACGACCGCAAUCAACCUGUACGCGACCAUGACCAUGACGCGACAGUUAUUUAAACCUUCCAGAUUAUCAAAUAAAUCACCACCAUCAUUCCUUUGUAAACAAAUAAUCUUCCAUGCAUUGAAUUAAAAUCAACUACGACUGAUGAUUCAUACUAGUGUGCAGAAAAAGAAGGAAAGAUCAUUAAACACGUUCAGAGAGAAACUGAUACUGAAAUUCACUAGGAAUUAUGAUCCAAAGUUUCAAACUAGGGUACGGGAAUUAAAAAAACUGAGUUCAAAUUGAACGUAUAUAUAUAGAAAGAGAACCUGAAAUGCAGAGGCUUCAGUGGUGCUACCCAUACCAAACUCAUCCAUAUUAGUUUUCCCAACAACAAUGCCACCCAAUUCCCUCACUCUCUUCACAGCAGUAGCAUCAAACGGCGGCCGGUAAUUCUCAAGUAUGCGAGAACCACCAGUGGACGGCAUGUCAGCCGUACAAAUAUUAUCCUUGACCGCAACAAGGACGCCGGCGAGAGGGCCAACAUCCUCCCCAGCGGCGAUUCUGCGGUCGAGGUCAUGAGCUUGGGAAAUAAGAGUCUGGUCGUCGGGGAGAUGGAGGAAUGAGCGGAGGUGAGGCUCAGUGAGACGGAGGCGCGUGAGGUGGGAGCGGACUAGGUCGACGGCGGAGAGGUUGCGGGAGAGGAGGGAGUGACGAAUUGAGAGGAUUUGGGAUUGGGGUUGCGAGGUUGUUGGGGAUUGGGUGGUGAUAGAAGCUUGUGGGAGAUUUUGGGAGUGGGAAGUGAAGGUGGUGAUGGUGGAGGGGAUGGAGAAACGAGAGAGGGUGGAACGAGGGGUUUGAAGUGUGGAUAGCAUUUUCAUUUUGCUCCUCUACCGUGACUCCGUGAGAGAAAAGAGAACAUAUAACAACCCAAGCACAAAGACUACAAAUAUUUUUUUUGGCUUAUUUUAGAAUGAAUUUCUGAAUUUACUAUCUACCUAUCAUAAAUCAAUUGUCUAAACUUACUAUUUUACCAUUUCUCUUCUAAAAUUUUACAUUGAUAAAUAAGCCUAAUCAGUAAACAACAAUGUUCUAAUUAAAACAUUUAUAUAUCUCUAUUAUACAUGUGACAUGUAUUUUACUAGCUCAAUCACACAACUUCUCUCAUCCACUUCUCCUAACAUACCAAGUGUUCAUUUCAAUUUUCUUCAUCUUCUCUCUUUUAUUUUAAAAUUUUCUCUCUCAUCUUUCUUUCUCUUUUAUUUUUCUAGGUAUAUAUAAAAGAAAUUGAAACUUUUUUUAUGAAAUAAAGAGAAAUACACAAAAAUAUUUAAUUUUUAAAACAUAAAAUUUAGUCUAAAUAAAAAAAAUUAUUUUAUAAUUAUUAAAAAAUUAUUCAUUGAUAUUAUCAAAUCAUCUAAUAAUUCAUGAUUAUAAAAUCAACAAAUUAUUUUAUAAAAUUGUUCAAACAACUAACAAUUCGUUAUAGAGGUUAAAAGUAGUGCACUGUCAGUGUAAAGAAAUAUUAUACUGACAUUCAUCAAAACAUUUUAUAUUGCCAAAUCAUAAGAGUAUUUUAAAAAUAAAAGUGUGAUGUGGCGGGAUACACAAAUCUCAUUGGUUUACACUGUCAAUGCAUAUUUCGUUUUCUCUUCAUUAUAACACAAUACAUAUUUUAUUUUUAGAGAUUAAUUACUAUACACUGUCAGUGUAAAAAGUUUUACACCGUCAAUUCAUCACCAUCAUCCGUUGUAUUACUUUAUAGAUUUUUAAAAUAAAAGUCAAACUUCUUUUAAUAUCUGACGUCUAUGAUUAACUGACGGGGUAAAAUUCUUUUACACUGUCAGUGUAUUUCAAUUAAACUCUUAUUAUUAAUCAAUUACUAUCUUUAUUUGAGAGAUAAAUUUUUAUUUUUAAAUGUCAAACUUUCUUUUUUUUUCUUUUUUCAUCUCACGGAUUCUUUUUUUUAUAUAAUUAUUUAAUAUAAUUGAGUUUAUACAAUAAUUAUUCAUUUUACAAUUAAGUAAUUCAUUUCAAAUUUACAUGUAUAAUUAAAUAUAUUUUAUACUUUAUCAAAUUGGAUAAUACUUAAUAAUGGUGUAGACAACUAACUUUUUAUUGGCCACUACCAAAAUUUUACCCAUUUUAUUUUAAUCAACAAUUAUCUUUAUUUGAGAUAUAAAAUCUUUAGACAUAAAUAGUUUUUUGGUUCUUAUAAGUUGACGUGUUUUAUUUUUCGUCCUUGUAUCUUUAUUUUUUUGGAUAAACUCUUUAAAUGUUGAAUUUCAUUUAAUUUUAGUCUCUAAAAUUAAAAAUCUGCAAGAAAACUCGCAGGUAUACUGCGGAUUUUAACUUUAGAGAAUAAAACCAAAAAAAAUAAUUAACAUUCAAGGAUUCUUUCCUAAAAAAAGAUAUAGGGACGAAAAUAAAAAACACGUCAAUUUAUAAUGACCAAAAGACUAUUUAAGUCAAAUCUUUAUUUCCAAAUGUCAAAAAAUUUUAUUUUUUCUUUCUCCAUCUCUUAGGUUUCUAUUUUCAUUUUUGUACAAAUAUUUAAUAUAAUUAUGUUUAUACGAUCAUUUUUAUUUUACAAUUAUAAAACUCAUUUCAAAUUUACAUCUAUAAUUAAAUACAUUUUAUAUCGUAUCAAAUUGGAUAAUAUUUUAUAGUCGUGGAGACAACUCCAUCUCACAUGUCAUUAUCAAUAUAAUAUCUAUUUUAUUUUUAAUCAACAUUAAUUGAAUUUAUAGGAUGAUUGUUCAUUUUACAAUUAAGUAAGUUAUUUCAAAUUAACAUAUAUAUCUAUAUAAAUUUUAGGAUUAAAUAUGUUUUUUGUCCCUAUAAAUAACUCAACAUUCAAUUUUAAUCCCCAUAAAAUUUUCCUUCAAAGAAUGGUCCUUCUAAAAUUUCUCGUCCCCAAUAUUAGUCUCUGCCAUUUAUUUUCUUUAACGGGUGUUGAUGUGUCACGCCACGUGUCAUGUCAUGUCACUUAAAACCAACUCAAAAAAAUUAGUUAAAUUCUGGGGUUACAAAUCUCCCCUAAAUACUUAUAUUAUCUCAAACAUUUCAUCAAACAGCUUAUGUGCAAUCUUUCAAAGAUGGUGAUGGUUUCAUUGAAUCCCUUAAAUCACUUGUCACAGGCCGCAUAGAACUUGGAGAAGCAACAUAAACACCUUUUGGAUCUUGAUUCACCAAUGUUCCAUCCAUUUUAGUAUUUAUUUUGACAAGAAUGAAAACUUGAUAACCCCACCAAAUUUGAAUCGCUCAUAAUUCCCUCAACCACGUCACAAUUAUGAACAUUAUUAUUAUUAUUUUGUAUCUGUUGUUGAUUCAAAACAUCUUCUACAGUUCUUGAUCAUUAUAAAUAUUAAAAAUAUCCCCUGUCUUGUCAACCAGAGCGGAAGGGACGUGAAUCUUACAUUUGGUCGGUCAACGCUUGUUUAGAAAGAGUUCAUACCUUGUUAAUCUUGUUCCCCAACACUAAUAGAGGGAUACCACUUAAUGAUGGUUUGCUCAGCAAAUCAUGAAGUUCACUUCUUAAUAUGCUAAGGUUAUCUGGAUCAGACGAUUGUUUGGCAAUAUAUCAAACACGUAGACAAUAUUAUGCACAUAUAAGUUGAACAUAUACACAAUAUUACAAAUAAAAAGUUUAGUUAAAUAUGCAUCCAUAAAUGUAUCAGUGUAUGCAUAGGAAUCACACACAUAAAUAUUCAAAGCUAUAAGAAAAUAAGAAGUUUGUUCCAUACAAAAUAGUAGAAACAACACGGCAAUAAUGUUUCCAUGCUACGAAACCUAGGUUGCCCUCCAAGAUCCCAUAGCUUAAUUGUAACAUUUCCUUUUGUUACUUUCCUCAUAUUGAAUCCCACCUGAAAUCAUAUAACAAUAGAUUGAUCAAAAAUAUUUCCCUUGAGAGAUAGUAAACUUCAUAAAUCAAAUUGUUACAAACCCAAGAGAAUAGUAAAAAAGUAGGAUAAAAAAAUAGAAAUUUAAGAAACUUCCUAUGUACUAUUGAUUGAAAUUGCAAGGUAUAUAUGUUAAUGAAGCUGAAUAUUCUGUUGAAUAUUAGUUGGCAUGAGUUGUUACUUAGCAUUUACUUAGACAGAUUGUUAGUAUCAAUUAUUGAUUUCCUCUAUUAAGAGUCAAUCCUUUAUUUAGCCUUAGAAUUAGACAGAUUGUUAGUAUCAAUUAUUGAUUUCCUCUAUUAAGAGUCAAUCCUUUAUUUAGCCUUAGAUUGAUUUACUGCCUUAAAUAGGUCCGUUGAUUGUCUCUUGUACAGCUAUAUAUUGUUUGCCAUUGUAUACAGAAUAUUAAGAAAUUGAAUAGAAACAUUACAGUAGUUUCUGUCAUUUCUAUAUGGCAUCAGAGCAUGAUUCUGAUUCUGAGAAUAAAAAUGAGAAAAAGGUGGAGAGGAACAAUGCCUCCAACGAAACAAAAACACCUCCCGCUAUCACAAAUACAUCACCGUAUUACCUCAGUCCCUCUGACAAUCCAGGAACGCCGCUUGUGGCUGCGACACUCAAAGGCGAGAACUACCGCAAUUGGGCACGUUCCAUGAGGAUGGCAUUUCGCGCCAAAAACAAGUUGGGUUUCAUCGAUGCAGCAAUCAAGAAACCUGCGAGAACAAAUCUAGAUUUCUACAAUUGGGAGAGAGCCGAUUCAAUGGUCAUGGAGUGGAUAAUUAAUGUUGUAAAACCAUUUUUGCAUGGAAGCAUCUCUCAUGCAUCAACUUCAAGAGAUAUAUGGGAGGAUCUGGAAGAGAGAUUUGCUCAAACUAACGCUCCAAGAAUCCACCAGUUAUGGCGAAUGUUGUGUUUAAUGGAGCAUGAACCAAAGAUGAUUGUGACAGAAUAUUACACCAAGUUCAAAAGUCUUCUUGAUGAGCUAGGUGAGUUACAGCCACUUCUAGAGUGUACCUGCGACGCAUCUAAAGAGAUUCUGAAGAGAAAGGAAAGCCAAUAUUGUUGGUGUAAGCCCUAGAGGUCAAUACUUUUUGGUACUUGUAUCGAAUUAUUUAUUAAUAAUAAAAGGCAUUUUCUUUAUUAUGGUUGUUUAAUAAAGUCCCUAGAAUAGAUAGUCCGUUUAAUGUAUUAAGUGUGACUUAAUCAUGAGAACACAUUAAACAUAAAGGACAUUAUUCUUAAGUAUCCGUAGUCGAGCUUUAUGGACAGUGGCGAUAACAGCUUAAGCAUUAAGACUAAUUAGUUUGUUAGACUGAUAGAUCACAUCUCGAUGAUCAUGGAUAAAGAUUAUCAAGUCUUAAACAUUAGAGUAUGAAAUAAGGUAGGAGUAAUAUUUAUACCGGAUUGACCGCUAUGGAAUACCUAUAAAAGUAUGAAAGUGUCAUAAGUUUUCUCAUGGUGAUAAUAGUGUAAUCUCCACUCUCGACCUGAACACAUGGACCCUAGAUUAGAGUCGAGUGUUUAUUGUGAUCAAACAUUGCCGUACUGGAUAACCAUAAAGACAGUUUGAUGGUACUCCACGAAGCAUGCUGAGGGACAUGAUUGACCUAGAUUGGAAAUUUGCGCCAUCCUGCAUAACAGGAAUAAAUGUCUAUGGCCCAAUAUUGGACACUGGACAAGGAUGACACGGUCUAUGCCUUGUGUUCACAUAUAGACAUAAGGGCAAAGGGUAAUUAUACACAUAAUAUUAUACAAAAGGAAUGUUCAGAUCACAUGACAUUUUCGUGUCUUGGGUAGCAGUGAUGUGUUGCUAGAUACGCUCACUUUUUAUUGUGUAAAUGUGUGAUUUAUAUAAUUGCCAACGUCACGGAACCUACAGGGUCACACAAAGGACGGAUUUGAAUGAGAGAUAGGAUAACUAAGGAAUGACCGUAGGUAGGCUGCCCUUAGAAGUGAAUUAUAGAAACAUACGUAGGUACGGGUGACUUGAGUAGAAUGCGAAUUAUAUGGUAAGGUACCAUGGGCUUAAGUGACUUUUGGGCAUAUUAUAAAGAUAUGGCCAAAAUACACUUAAGGGGCUUUUUAGGCUUGCAGCCCACACAAGGGUUCUAUAAAUAGGAACCCUUGUGCCAGAGCAUUAAUAUGGUUGCAAAUUUUGCUUUCUCUCACUCUCUCUCUCUCAUUCAAAGCCUUCAUUCGUACCAGCUAGCACUGAGAUUGAAGGAACCCGUUCGUGUGGACUGAGUAGAGAUGUUGUCAUCGUUCAACGUUCGUGAUCGAUUCGUGGAUUAGCAUCAAAGGUUUUGAUCGUCACAAGAGAUCUGCACCAAAGGUUUCAAUCGUCACAAGAGGUAAAUAUUCUAUCACUGAUCAUGACCAUUCGUAAGGAUCUCUAAAGGAGAAAUUUUAAUUUUCGCUGCGUUUUGGACCGCAAUUCUCCUUCAAAUAUGUGCACCCAUUCCUUGGAAGUCUUAACAAUGAGCGAUUUGAGCAUGUUAAGGCAACCAUGUUGAACACUGAACCUUUGCCUUCGCUACGAAGGGUCUUCAAUCACGCCAUCAGAGAAGAGGCCAGGAACACAAGUGAAAGAGGUAAGAUGGUCACAGUCAAGGGAGAAUCAGGAGGAUCUGCCUUUUAUGCUCCAAAUCAGAAUAGGCUAAGAAGAGAUGGACAAAAGCCAAAAUGUGAUCAUUGUGGCAAAGUUGGUCACACCAAGGCGGGUUGCUUUGAAAGGAGGAUCUGCCUUUUAUGCUCCAAAUCAGAAUAGGCUAAGAAGAGAUGGACAAAAGCCAAAAUGUGAUCAUUGUGGCAAAGUUGGUCACACCAAGGCGGGUUGCUUUGAGAUUACAGGUUAUCCGGAAAACUGGGGCACACGAAGGACGCAACGUUAUCCAAGAGACAAUGGAGGACAGCCCAGAGCUUACCAUGCACAUGUUACUGAAGAUCAAAAAGAAGAGAAAGAAACAGUGUAGGGGCGAGCGUUGCAUGGUCCGCGUGUGAUGCAUCAUGACUCUUUUGAUGCUGGUAAUGAUAUGUUAUGCAAGGAUAAAAAAUGGAUCUUGGACAGUGGUGCAUCACACCACAUGACUCCUCUAUUAUCCUUAAUGAGAGGGGUAACCAAGAUUGAGAAACCUUUCUAUAUCACUGUUCCUACAGGGAAUGUAGUGUUAGUAGAGGAAAUGGGGAUCAUUGAUCUUAACAAAGACAUAACUUUGCACAACGUUUUAUUUGUGCCUGAGUUUGAUUGCAAUUUGAUUUCAAUUUGUCAAUUGACUAGCGAUUUAAAUUGCUUUAUAACUUAUCAUUCUAAUCAUUGUUUGAUACAGGAUAUUGUCACGAAGAAGAAGAUUGGUUUAAGUGAUGUACAUGGUGGGGUUUACGUGCUGAGGCAAGAAGUUCAAGGGUCAGCUUUCAAGGCUCAUCAUGAAAACGAAAUUGCUCUCUGGCAUGCACACAUGGGACAUCCCUCUUCUCAAGUCACGCGAUGUAUAUCUCAGCUAGUGAAUUUUAAUUUCAAAAAUAAUGUAGUCCAUUGUUAUGACAUAUGCCAUAGAUCAAAACAAUGCAGACUUCCAUUUCCUAUUAGUUAUAAUAAAGCUGAGAAUCCUUUUUACCUUAUACAUUGUGACUUAUGGGGGAAAUAUAGCACUAACUCUCAUAAUGGUUGUCACUAUUUUCUUACGAUCAUUGAUGAUUAUUCGCGUGGAACAUGGGUAUACUUGAUGAAAGAAAAAACAGAAGUUCUAAAAAUCUUGAUAAAUUUUCUCAACAUGAUAAGGACACGAUAUAAUGGAAAGGUCAAGAGAUUGCGUAGUGACAAUGGGACAUAAUUUACGAACCAUGCUUUUCAAGAAAUUCUUCACCAAGAAGGAAUCCUACAUGAAACUUCAUGCGUAGGAACGCCCCAACAAAAUGCAAGGGUGGAAAGGAAGCAUAGACACAUACUCAACGUUGCACGAGCCUUGAGGUUCCAAGCUAACUUGCCCAUCUCAUUUUGGGGGGAAUGUGUUUUGACAGCCACCUACCUAAUCAAUAGAACGCCUACAAUGGUUAAUGAGGGAAUGACUCCAUAUGAGAAGUUAUUUGGCAAACCUCAAUCAUAUGAAGAUAUCAAGACUUUUGGGUGCUUGUGCUAUGUUAAGAAUUUAAGCAAACAAUGAGAUAAGUUCGAUUCUAGAGCAGAAAGGUGUGUCUUUGUGGGAUACCCUAAGGGUCAAAAAGGUUGUACGGUGUACAAUCUAAGGACACGAGAAAUUUAUGUAUCGAGAGAUGUGGUGUUCUAUGAGAAUGUUUUUCCUUAUGCAUCACAAGAAAAAGGCAACAAUGGAGAUGACCCUCCACCAAUGUUUGCUCCUAAUUCCAUCUCUGUUGAAGAGGAAACUGCACCUACCCACGAUAGGCAGUAGAACCAGAAUGAUUUGCUCACUCAAUCAGCAGAAGAUCAAUAAGUUGUGGAAGUAAAUUCUGAUGUGGUUGAUGUUGUCGAAGAACCUUAUAAUGAAGGAGAAAGUGAGCUCACACACUUGGGGCCAAGGAUCGGAAAUCCAUCUAAACAUCUGAAUGACUAUCAUUGCUAUUCGACAGAGAAAACCCGCACAUGUACAUCGCCAAACUCGUCAACUUCUUCAGGUAUGGUAUAUCCUAUAUCAAAUUAUGUAAAUUAUGAUGAGUUUUCAAGAAAAACAUCAAGCUUAUCUUGCAGCAAUUGAAAGCAUCGAGGAGCCACAAUCAUACAAGCAAGCAACUCAAACGCAAAAAUGGAGGGAUGCCAUGUCACAAGAACUCAAGGCCUUAGAAGAAAAUAAAACGUGGGAGUUGGCAAGGCUUCCAAAAGGAAAGAAGACAGUGGGUUGCAGAUGGGUGUACAAGGUUAAGUACAAGUCAUCCGGUGAAGUUGAGAAGUAUAAAGCCCGACUCGUAGCGAAGGGAUACACACAAGUUAAAGGAGACGACUUCAAUGAUACUUUUGCACCAGUCGCCAAGAUGACAACCGUAAGAUGUUUACUUACUGUUGCAGUGGACAAAGGAUGGGAACUUCAUCAAAUGGAUGUAAGCAAUGCAUUCCUACACGGAGAGUUAGAUGAGGAGGUAUAUAUGGAAGUACCACCAGGUUACAAUGCUCUUAAUGACGGCAUGGUGUGUCGCUUAAGAAAGUCAUUAUAUGGUCUUAGGCAGGCCUCACACAAUUGGUACUCAAAGUUGUCCCAAGCAUUAGUGAGGUAUGGUUUCCAGGAAUGUGAAGCUGACCAUAACCUAUUUACAUACUCGUGUGAAUCUGUUUUCAUAGUUGUGCUUAUUUAUGUUGAUGAUCUUAUUGUGGCUGGGAAUGAUGUAAAAUCAUGUGUAAAAUUCAAACAAUAUCUCAAGGAGUGUUUCCACAUGAGAGACUUGGGAGGGCUGAAGUACUUCCUCGGUCUAGAACUGGUUCGUGGUCCCUCCAGAUUGUUCAUAUGUCAAAGAAAGUAUACCUUGGACAUACUAAACGAAUGUGGGAUGCUAGCUUGCAAACUUGCAUCUCUGCCACUUGCACCAAAUCACAAAUUAGCAUUGGAUUCGAGUUUUUUAUAUGAUGAUCCUUCAAAGUACCGCAGAUUGGUGGGACGACUCAUUUACCUCACAAUCACUAUGCCAGAGUUGACAUACUUGGUGCAUAUUCUCAGCCAGGUCAUGCAGGAACCUCACCGAGGGCAUUGGGACGCAACAAUGCUUAUCUUGAGAUACUUAAAGUUUGCACCAGGGCAGGGCAUUAUCAUCCCCAAAGACAAUGAUCUCAAGCUAGUUGCAUAUUAUGAUUCCGAUUAUGCAUCAUGUCCACUAACCAGGAGGUCAAUAUCGGGCUACCUAAUGAAGUUGGGAGCAGCUCCAAUAUCAUGGAAAACCAAGAAACAGACUACAGUAUCGAGAUCCUCUAGUGAGGCGGAGUACAGAGCAAUGGCGCACGCCACAAGUGAAAUCAUAUGGCUGCGAAGAUUGCUCGCGCAUUUGCAAGUGGAAUUUGAUUCUCCUACAAUUCUACAUUGUGAUAAUCAAGCUACUAUUCAUUUAGCUUCCAAUCCGGUCUUUCACGAAAGGACGAAGCAUAUUGAGGUGGAUUGUCAUUUUAUUAGAGAAUUCAUCAGCAAGGGAGUUACAUCUACUGCUCACAUACCAACCAGAUCACAACAAGCUGACAUCUUCACAAAAUCUUUAGGAACUAAGCAAUUUCAGGAGUUAUCUAUCAAGUUGGGAUCUCACAACCCUCAACCUCCAACUUGAGGGGGAGUAAUGAAGUUGAAUAUUCUGUUGAAUAUUUUGUUGAAUAUUAGUUGGCAUGAGUUGUUACUUAGCAUUUACUUAGACAGGUUGUUAGUAUCAAUUAUUAAUUUCCUCUAUUAAGAGUCAAUCUUUUAUUUAGCCUUAGAUUGAUUUACUGCCUUAAAUAGGUAUGUUGAUUGUCUCUUGUACAGUUAUAUAUUGCUUGUCAUUGUAUACAUAAUAUUAAGAAAUUGAAUAGAAACAUUACAGUAGUUUCUGUCAUUUCUAUAUAUGUACUUAUAAGUAAAAAUGCCCUUAUAAAAGGGCAUAACUACUUUUCUAUAUGAUUAAAAUGGGAUCCCUAUAUGUUCUCAAAUUCUACUUAAAUCUUAUAUUGCACCAUCUUGCAACUAUGAAUGUUGUACCUAAAUUAAUUAAACUGGUCCUUCUAACUACUAAAAUAACUACCAAAAAUAUUUCUCGUGGCUUAUGGUUACUAUUGCACUCUAAUGGAAUCAAAAUGAAACUUUUAGAAUCUGAAGAGCAAAGUGGAGGAAUCAAAACGAAACUUUGAAAGAUUGCUCAGAAACUGUUUGAUGACAUGUCCAAGAGAAUUAAGGCAUUUAGUAGAGGUUUAUAACCCCCACAAUUUAACUAAUAUAAAACAAAAGUAAUUAAUUUAAUAAAAAUUAUACGUGUAAAAAAACACAUUUGGCAAUGCCACGUAUGCCUCUAUUAAUGGAAACUAAUUAGGGAACCAAUUUUAGAGACAAAAAAGUUUGCAAGGACCAUUGUUUGAAGAAAAAAUUUAGAGGGACUAAAAUUGAAUGUUGGCAUAUUUAUGAGGACCCCUGACAUGUUUAAUCCUAAAUUUUAUAUUGUAUCAAAUAUAUUUACCCGUGCAGACGCACAGGUAUCUUGCUAGUUAUAUUAAUAAUAAUACACAUGUGAUUGUUUGCAUGGAUGUCCGGUUUUAAUAUGAAAGUUGAAUAUGCUCAAAUGUGACGGAGAAUGCAUGGUUUUCUAUUAGGGUAUUAGGAACUAACAAUUUUAUUUGCAAUUGCUUAUGAUAUUGUUAUUUCUUUAUUAAUUGAUGAGCUUACAAGAAAAGAACUUUGGAGCAUUUUUCGCAUGUGCAGAUAGAUCUUAACAUGUUAGAUGCUCUCCAUGAUCAUAUUUUGGUAUAACGAGAGGGUUAAGUGUUCUUUGUUGUAAAAAAAAUUUAAGGGGACAGAUGUUGGAUAAGAUGUAUAAGCCAAUAUGUUCGACAUCUUAAAUCAGACUUUGACAAAUUAUAGAAAACAAGGUGAUCAAACAAAAAGCAAUAAAGAAUACAAGAUAAUUAUUAACCAAAUUCAAUGCAACAUCACCUACAUUUAUGAGGCUUCCAACCCAAGAUAGGAAAUUCACUGCUCAAUAGAAUUAGUACAAGGUGUCUUAGAUGAACAACCAUAAUUCAAUGCUUAAUCCAUUUCUACAAAAAGUAUAUACAACAACGCCAAUCAUAAUUAUUUUUAAGAUUCUCAAACUUUGUUGUGAGGAGUUGCAACCUCGACAUACGAACUUUGGAUGUGCCUUCAUGUGCAGUUUUGAGAAUCCCCCAUGCAUCUUUGGCCUUAGUACAUCUGAUGAUCAACCUAAACAUGUUCUUGUCCACACCAUUGAAAAUAACAUUCAAGGCUUUGGAGUUUCUAAGAGCUUCAUCACCUUCGGUACUUGUCCAAUCAACUUCAUGCUUUAAGAUAAAUUAUGAAUUGUCAUAAGUAAUCUCAGGGUGUUUCCAACCUUUUAUCAUAACCUUCCAUGUUUUAUUGUCCAUGGAUUUAAGAAAAACAACAAUAUUGGCUUUCUUAUAGUCAUAGUUGGUGCCAUCUAAGACAAGUGGUCUAUUUACUAAUCCUUCAUCCUUAGUGUUGUCGAUUUAAACAUAAAGUAUCCUCACUAUAGCUCACCCUCAUAGAACAUGGUGUCUUCCCUAAUACCAAUUGAAGUUAUAUUUUGAGGGGACAUAUGACAUACCAUAUGUUUAAGUCAAUGUGUUCAACAUCUUAAACUAGACUUUGAUAGAUUAUAGAAAACAAGAUGAUCAAUCAAAAAUCAAUAAAGAACACAAAAUAAUUGUUAACCUAGUUAAAUGCAAUAUCACCUACAGCUGGGGGGCUUCCAACCUAAAAAAAUAAAAUUCAUUAUUAAAUAUAAUUAGUACAAAAUGUCUUAGAUGAACAACUCUAGUUCAAUUCACAUCUUCUUAAUUCUACUUGUCUAUUUCUAUUCAUAAUCCCCCUAAAUAUGAGAAUCCCUCUCAUUUACUAACCCUGGUGAUAAAUACAACAAUCAGUUUCAAGAAUGUUGAAUUACAACUCAACUAAGAAACCAAACUUUAUGCCUUUGGAUAUGAAUGUAAGCGCUAGAGUGGUGCACAAACAAAAGACUCAAAAAUACAAAGACUCUUCAAUCCUUGCACACAUUUCAAACAUUAGGUUUAACUCUCUUUAAAUAGGAAUGCAAACUUUGGAUUUUUCUUCCUUGGGCAUAAGAUUUGACCACGUCCAAAAUUAGAGAGGAUUUUGUUUUUAUUUGUUUUUUCAAACACCUCCACAAAAGAUUUGAUUUGUUUUUAUUCAAAUUUAAAUCUCAAAUUUAAUAGAUUUGAUCUUAUUAAAUCAUUUAAACAAAUCUAACUAAUUACAUUGCUAAAAGAUAGCAGCAAAUCAGUUGCACACAACCUGAAAAUACACGCAAAACAACUACAACAUUGGCCUACUGAUAUGGGUCAGAUGUUGCACACAUGUAGGAACAUAUUAUUCCACAUGUGUUUUUCUUCACCAAAGCAUCUUGUAAACUCCAUAUUAUUUUUCAUAAUGCAACCAAUCAAAUGGAACAACAAUUUCUCCCUUUCAAAAUUUUUGGCAAAACAACUCUUUCAAAAACUUACAAGAUGUGUAAAAGUAAGUCUUACAAACUGAGCAACAUAAGCAAACCACAACCAGAACAAACAGACUAAAUAUUAGCAACAGAAGAAACACAUAAGUAAAAUGGUUGCUACAUAUUCAAAAUAGAAUCGCAAUGCUCUCAUAAACAAGCACACGAUCAAUCAUGCAUGCAUACAAUCAAAGUAAGUAGUCAUUCAAGUUAGUCAGGCCACUCAGAACUACCACUCCCAUCAAGCAUCUGAGUUCACACAUAUAGAAAGAUCAACUCACAGACAUACAUGCUCAUAGUUGAAGGCAAAUACCAAGCCAAAUGCUUCACCAUGUGAGCACACAAACUCAUCAAAUGAGUAAACCAGAGCAUACAUAUAUCAUGCAUGAUAUGUGCACAUAACUUAUUUCUCCCCCUUUUGCCACAAUUUGUAAAAGGCAUGAAAAAAAGAAAGGCAAAAAACAUAAGAAAUACUAUCAAACAGAUUGGAACUGAGAACAAAAUCCCAAGAAUAUCAUAACAAAUCCAAGAUUGUUAAGGAGUUGUUACAAAUCCAACAUCACAACAAAGGACAUACAAAACCAAUUAUACUACAACAAUAAAACAUGGAAUUCUCAAUCUCCAAACUUACUCUCUAGACCAACCACCUCAUUCAAUGAAAGUAACCCAACCUUCAUUAGCAUCUGAGUCAGAAUCAUGUAUUUGAACAUGUCUCUUCUUCAAAGACUUCAUCUUUGUUACAUACUUUUUCCUAGUCACAGAUGAUUCAGCGUGUGUUUCCACCUUGGCGUCAGCCUUCUUUGAUUCUAGAUCCCUAGCCUUAUUCCCAUACUUGUUUUCUAGAUGAUUGACUCAUUUAUGAAAUAAAUGGAAACACUUGAAAAAGGGGAGAGUGAACAAGUAUCUUAGUACAAUAACGAAAGAGAAGAAGAGUAUUCAUGCUUGUAACGAUGGAUCGGAUAAAAUGAGAGUUUGAAAUAGGAAUAAACAUCCUUAUUUUGCGUGCACCACAUACCAUAUUAAAGAGACACUUUCUUAUUCUCCUCGCACUCCUCCCUGGCUUUGACUGCUAUAGACUCUCACAUAUGCAAAUACCAAGAGCACCCUUAACUUUUCAAAUUGAACUACAUCUAAAACCUUAGUGAAUAUAUCAACUAUUUGUUUUUCAAUCUCUAUAUGAUCAAGAUUUAUAAUUUUAUCUUCCACAAGUUCCUUGAUGAAAUGAUAGUGAAUGUUAAUAUGCUUGGUUCUACUGUGUUGUACAUGUUUCUUUGAAAUAUUAAUAGCACUUAAGUUUUCACAGAACAAUGUCAUGACAUCUUGUUCAACAUUUGUUUCAUCUAGAGCAAUUGAGUGCAACAACUCCCUGAAACAUACUCAGCUUUAGCAGUAUAUAAAGAGACACAAUUCUACUUCUUAAAGAACCAUGAGAUUAAAUGGUUUCCAAGAAAGAAUCAUCCAUCAUAUGUACUCUUUUUAUCACCAACACUUCCAUCCCAAUUUGCAUCAUAAUAUCCUACUAGUAUUGAAUUAGUAUCAUGAGAAUAUAGAAUGUCAUAGUCACAAGUCCCAUUUAUGUAGUUCAUGAUUCUCUUUACUUGAAUGAGAUGACUAGCCUUGGGUUUAGCUUGACAUCUAGCACAUACUCCUACAAUAAAAGUGAUGUCAGGUCUGCUUAGUGUGAGGUAAUACUUCCCAUCAUACUUGUAUAGAGGCUUUAAGAUACAUCAACUUCAUUUUCAUCCUUUGAUAACUUCACAUGAGUUGCAGCUGGAGUUCUUUUAUGGCUCGCCUUGUUAAGACCAAAUUUCUUCAUUAUUCUAUUUGUGCACUUGCUUUGAGAUACAAAAAUGUUGUCUUCCAUUUUCUUUACUUGAAUACCAAUAAAAUAAGUGAGUUCUCUUACAAGACUCGUCUCAAACUCAGACUGCAUUUGUUGAACAAAAUGCUCCACCAUCUUCUCUAACUUCCCACCAAAGACUACGUCAUCAAAAUAAAUGCGGGCUAUCAUGAGCUUUCAUUCUUCUCAAAUAAGUUUUAUCUAUUCCUCUUAUAUCGAAUCCGUUAUUGACCAUGAACUCAAUUAAUCUCUCAUCCAAGCUCUUGGAUCUUGAUUUAAUCCAUAUGGAUUUUUCUUCAGUUUGAACACGUGAUUUGAAAAGUUAGGAUCAAUGAAACCCUUUGGUUGCUAUACAUAGACUUCUUCAUUAAGAUACCUAUUCAAAAAGACAGUUUUAACAUCCAUUUGAUACAAUAUGAAUUUCAUCAUGUAGAGAAUUCCUAGUAAUAGUCUGAUGGACUCAAGUCUAGCAACUAGAGAAAAUAUUUCAUCAAUAUAUACUCUUUUUAUUUGAGAGUACCCUUGAGCAAAUAAAUUUGCCUUAUUCCUUGUCACUUUACCACUUUUGUCAAAAACAAUUCUUGAAAAUCCACUUGGUACCAAUGACAUUCAUAUCUUUUAGGUCUAGGAACUAAUUCCCGUAAAUUAUUUCUUUUUAAUUGACAAAGUUUCUCUUGCAUGGCAUUUAUCCAUAAUUUAUCAGUUAAGGCUUCCUCGAUGUUCUUAGGUUCAAUAUUAGAAAUGUAGCAAGACUUUGAAAUCAUAUAUCUGGAUUUGGUGAUGGCUCUUUCAUUUAGAUUUCCUAUGACAAUUUCAAUGAAAUGAUUCUUCUGAAUUCUUAUUGAUGGUUUGAGGAUUUUCAGAAAUUGUGCUUUAAUGCUCAAUGUCAAACCUCGUGUCUGGGAUAUCAGUCUAUUGGAGGGAUACAUCAUCUUCGUUUUCAUCUUCUUGCUUAUCUUCAAGAUUGUUAUCAAUGAUAACAUUUAUAGACUCCAUCAUUGUCUUAGUAUGUUUUUUAUAUAUAAUAUGCUCUACUAUUUGUGGAGUAACCUAAGAAUAUCCAUUUAUCACUCUUUGGAUCCACCUUUCUUUUUUGCUCAUUAUCUGCCAAGAUGUAACACUUGCUACCUAAGACAUGAAAGUAUUUAACAUUUGGUUUUCUUCCUUUCUAAAGCUCAUACUGAGUUUGUUUCGUUCCAGAUCUUAUGGUCACACAAUUAUGAAUGUGACAAGUUGUAUUCAUUGCUUCAGCCUAGAAAUAGUAAGGUAGAUUCUUAGCAUGUAACAUAACUUUAACUGACUCUUACAAGGUCAUAUUUUUUCUCUCAACCACUCCAUUAUGUUGAGGCGUGACAAGUGUUGAGAAUUCAUGACUAUUCCCUUCAUAGGAACAAAACUCAGAGAAUUUAGAGUUUUCAAACUAUUUUCCAUGGUCACUUCUUAUUCUCACAAUUCCACUCCUUUUUUCUCGUUGGAGAUGUUUACAUAUCUCUUUGAAGACAUCAAAAGUGUCAGGUUUUUUUUUAAUAAAUCAGACCCAAGUAUACCUUGAGAAAUCAUCCACACAUACAAAAACAUAUAUUUUCCCACCCAUACUUUCUAAUUGCAUAGGCCACAUUAGAUCCAUAUGAAGUAACUCUAAGGUGGUAAAUUGCUUGAGCUUCUUGUGGGACAUGUUGGUAUGCUUGCCUAUCUGGAAUUCUCCACGGAUUUUUCCUUCUCCAAUCUUGAGCUAUGGCAAUCCCUUGAUAGCAUCUUCAGAUAUAAUCAUUUUAAUACUCUUGAGGUUGAUAUGACCAAGUUUUUGAUGCCAUAACUUGGUCUCACCUUCUUUGGAUAUCAAACAUGUUGAGGGAUGGAUUUUGUUUUGAGAUACCCAUAUAUAACAGUUGUCUUUGGAUCUUGAUCCUUUCAUUAACACUUCUUGAUCUUUGUUGGAGACUGUAUAUUUAGACUUGUUGAAUUUCACAUUCAGACCUUGACCUCAUAGUUGACUAAUGUCGAUCAAGUUAUCAAUUAGACCUUCUGCUAGCAACACAUCAUCAAGACAAGGGAAACUUGGACUAACCAGACUGCAUAUGCUCCUGAUUCUUCUUAUAGCUCCAUCACCAAAGGUAACAUAGCUAUUAGAGUAUGGAUUUAACUCUUCGAGAUAGUUCUUUUCUAUAGUCAUGUGCCUUUAACAUCCACUAUCAAAUUACUAAACUUCUCUUGAGGAAUCUCUAAGAGAAAUAUGAGCUAUGAGACAAGUGACAGUUUCCUUGGGUUUUCACACCUUCCUUAUUCGAGUUAUCUUCCCUUUAUUUCUAUUAAGCAUUGGAUGAUAUAGUAUUAGGGAUAUCCAUACAGUCUAUAGAAAAAGGGUCUUAUAUUACCAUAUCUUCCAUAGUGGUGACACCUCCAAGAUGAGUUCUUGUUGCCUCUACUAUGAGGAUACACAUGUUAAGCAGAAUGCUAAGACAUAUGGUCAAACAUUUGAAACUCAAGCUUCUUCUCAGGGAAAAAAAAUUCUAGUGGGAAUUUUGUUCUUUUUGUUCAUAUAACUAUAGUUAAACCCUAUAUCCUUCAUAUUUCUAGAUUUUUUCACAACUUCCAAUAUCUCAUCUAACAUAUAUGAACCAUUGUUUAGCAUACAUACAAAUUUUGUCAUAUUAUCAUGUUUAGAAUUUAACAAUGUGACUUCCUCUUUCAUACAUGCAAUGGUUAAGCCAAGUUUCUCUUUUUUCCAUAAGUAGAGCACUUAUAGUAUUAUUUUGUUUCUCUUCUCUCAAGCAAGUUUCCUUCCACUAAGUGAGAAAAAGUCUAUAUGUUUGAGCUAGUUCUUCUUUUGAAAUAUCUUCAUCACUAGAUUCAUAUUUUCUAGUGAAAGCAAUCACCUUAUUAACUAUUUUCCUUCACUUUCAUCAUCAGAAUCAAACCAAGUGUUUGAUAAUCCCUUUUUUGUUUCUUUAGAAAAGUAGGAAACUCAGAUUUUACUGUGACAAAACCUUUCACAUUCAUAAUAUUAUGCUCCUUUUUCUCUCUUAUAUUUAUCUUCAUCUUUUCUUUUUCUCUAAGGAAUGAUGUCUGACACCUUAUCUUAGAUCUUCAUCUCUGGUUUGCCUCUGGGGAGUGAUGUCUGACAUCUUGUCUUGGACAUUUGUCAUCCAUUAUUUGUCAAGCCUUCUUAAAGCUUUGUUAAACUUUAUCCCGACAAAAACUAUAACAUUUGAUAGACUUUCUUCACCUUGAUUUUCAUCCUCCUCGAUGUUGGAAACAAAAUUUAUACUUUUUCCUUCUUUUUAGAUCUGUCAUUUUAAGUCAACUCAAAAGUUUGUAAAGAACCAAUGAGUUCAUCAACUUUAAUAUUGCUUAAGUAUGGGAGCUUCUUCAAUAAUUGUAACCUUCAUAUCAAACUUAUUAGGUAGAGAUCUUAGAAUUUUUCUAGCCAACUUUUCUUCAGACAUCUUCUCUCAUAAGGCACAAGAGGCGUUGGAAAUGUCAUGCAAUCUGAUGUUGAAAUCAUAGAUGGAUUCAUCUUCAUUCACUAUAAGAUUCUCAAACUUUGUUGUGAGGAGCUUCAACCUUGACAUAUAAGCUUUGGAUCUGCCUUCAUGUGCAGUUUUGAGAAUCUCUCAUACUUCUUUGGCUUCAGUACAUGUGUGUAUAAACCUAAACAUGUUCUUGUCCACACCAUUGAAAAUAACAUUCAAGGCAUCUAAAGCUCCCAAAAGCUUCAUCAUCCUUAGUACUCAUCCAAUUAGCUCCAGGCUUUAAUAUAGAUUUUCCAUAUUCAUAAGUAAUAUUAGGGUGUUUCCAACCUUUUAUAUCAUCCUCCCAUGUUUUGUUGUCCAUGGAUUUAAGAAAAGUAACCAUCUUGGAUUUCCAAUCUUCAUCUUUAAUGUUUUCCAUUUGAAUUUUAGAAAGUAUCCUCCCUGGAGCUCACUCAAACAGAAAAGGGUGCCUACUCUAAUACCAAUUAAAAUUUUGUUCUAAGAGGGCAGAUGUUUUGACCAGAUAUCUAAGCCAAUGUGUUUAGCAUCUUCAACUAGACUUUGACAGAUUAUAAAAAACAAUAUGAUCAAUCAAAAAUCAAUAAAAAACACAAGAUAAUUGUUGACCUAGUUCACUGCAACAUCACCUACAUCUGGAGGGCUUCUAACCCAAUAGAGGAAAACCAAUACUCAAAAGAAUAAGUAAAGGUGUCUUAGAUGAACAACUUUAGUUCAAUGUCCCUCUUCUUAAUUCUACUUGUGUCUUUAUAUUUAGGACUCCCCACAAAUAUGAGAACUUAUCUCACUUUCUCUUAAUCACUAACCCUAGUGAUCAAUACAAUAAUCAUCUUAAAGAAUGUUGAAUUACAACUCAAAUAACAAACUAAACUAUAUUCCUUUUGAUAUGAAUGUAGGCGUUAGAGUGGUGUAUAAACAAUAACAUAAACAAAAUACUCAAAAUAAAAACCUUAACACAAAGAAUCUUCAAUCCUUGUAUACACUUCAAACAUUAGGUACGAGUCUCUUUAAAAAGUAAUGCAAACUCUGGGAUUUUUUUCCUUGGGUAUAAGAUUUGAUCACAUCUAGAGUUAAAGAGUGAAGCUAGCGGAAAUAUACCCGAACAUAUCGCACGCUCGAACAUACAACAGAGUCGCCAUCGAACUUUAUUUAUUCCCGAAGGAAAGGAAAAACAUCGAUAAAACCUGGGGGAAAUAGAUAUGUUGGGUAAGGAAGUCGGUUAUUCAAGGGGAAGGUAUUAGCACCCCAAACAUCCAGGGUACUCCAUGGGAACCGUUUUGAUUGUUCUCGCUCGAAUAGGUGUGAUAUCUAAAGAUUACUCGCAAAAGAAUGGGAAAAGGAAAAGAUAUAGAUAAAGUGCCCGAUGAGGAUUAGGGCCCUCUUGUCUACGUAUCCUCAUAGUGCAAUGAGGAAUUUAGAGCUCCGUAGUUCAAAGAACUAGUGGCGGAAGAUGGAAAGAAGUGAUACAGGUAUGAUCUAAACCAAAGGAUAAUGUUUUGAAAACCAACAAUGGGGAAAACUUGAACUCAAGAGUAAGGUGGAUAUUAUCAAUACAUGGGAUAACAUGGCUGCCACUAUAGGGUAAUGCGGAAAAUACGAAGAAAUAAGUGUUUGGGCACAGUCCCAAACAUCUCUUGGUUCACAAGAUGAUGCAAGAAGGAGCACAAAGAGAUAUUGUAUUUGGCUCAAAGGUAAAUGAUAUAUCACAUGGAGUGAAUGAAGGUAGAAUAUGAGUGUAUCAUGGAGAUGAAUGAAAUGAAGUGACCAAAGUCACAAAAUUGAAUAUUUGGUAACAAGUGACUGAAGAAGUGUAAUUUGAAACCAAAGGUAAGGUGUAAUGGAAUCCAUACGAGAAAUAGGAUUUGUACCAUAGAGGGAAACGAUGUUAAAAUACGUGGAACAUCAUGGUUGCCACUAUGUGAUAUUUAGCCAAAAAAGAAGGAAUUAAAUGUCUGGGUACAAGCCAAACAACUAUAGGUAGAAAUGCAGACUUUUCACUAGGCGUCCUAAAAGGGUGUAUAUGGAAUUCCCAAUAAAGUGUAUUUUUGAUCUUAAAGAAAUAAUAUGUCAAUGGGUGAACGAUUUAUGAUCAAAGGUAUAUAAUGGAUCAUGAAAGAUAUGAGUGGUGCCCUAGGGAGGAAGAAGGAAUAAUUAGAAGUAUGCCCGCCAAGGAUUCACAUCAUCGUGCAUACGUAUUCUCAUUGUGCAAUGAGAAAAUUAGAGCAAUCGUAGUUCGUGGAACCACGAGAAUAGAGAGAGAUAAGUAAUGAAAAGUAUAACUUAUACCAACAGAAUGGUAUCAAGGGAACCCACAAAUGGAUGGAACUUGGAAUCAAAUAGUAAAUAGGCAUUUACCAGUACGUGGGCUAGCAUGGCUGUCGCUAUAGGGUAAAGCCAAAAACAAAGACUUAAUUAAGUGUUUGGGUGCCAACCAAAUAACUCCUGAUUCACAAGACGGAUUGCCGCUAUAUCGUCCUAAAAGGGUAUAGGCAGGGUCCAAGAGAAAGUAUUGUUGUGUACAAGGAAUAAUAUAUCACUAGAUAGGGAACAAACAGUUCGAGAUCAAAGAAGAAUAGUAUCUUGGAUCCAAGAAAGAGAUAGAUUCUGAAUCGAAGAGCAAGGUGGUGUCUAAACCCAAAAAGAUUGAAUUAAAUGUUUGGAUGCCUCAAACAACUCUCGAUUGAUGAGGUGGACUGCCGUUAUAUCGUCCUAAAAGGAUGUACAAGGAGUCCAAGGAGAAGUAUAGUUGAUCUCAAAAAGAUGAUAUUAAUUGAUGAAUGAAGAAUGAUCGAUUAAUAAAUAGGAUAACUCGCGAAGAAACUGGGUUCUCCUGCCUACGUAUCCUUAUAGUGCAAUAAGGAAAUCAGAGCUUUCGUAGUUCAUCCUACUAGGGCUAAAAACAAGAUGAUUAAGGAGGCAAGAAGAGAUGAUAAAAUGAUUGAAUGAAAGAAUGGAAUAGGCUUGAUAGUUACUUGAUAAGAAUCGCACUAAAGUCUAUGAAUAAAGAUGGAUACGAUAAGCAACGGGCCGAACGUCCCGCACCCAAAGAUAUCCAGAAUGAGUGUAGGAAAGCUCCAGUCUCAUUCCUUCUUUACUACUUAAGGCUCGUGGCAUGUGACUCUCAUCCUAACUUUCAAGUUGCUAGAGGAGAAUCUUUGUUGUUGUUUCUUGCAAUGAUCAAGCGAGGGAGACUUGACAGUUGAUUGAUGAGAAUCACACUAAAGUCUAUGAAUAAGGGUGAACGCUUUGAAUAACUAGGGCCUACGCCCCAUACACAAAGUCCCUCUAGACAAGGAUAGAAGAACCUUCGUCUCAUCAUUCCUUAUUACUUAAGGCUCCUGGCGUGUGAUACUUCUCAUAACUGAAAAGUUGUUGGAGAAGAGUCUUCAUUAUUGCUCCUUGUGUUUAUGUUGUUUUGUGUGAAGAAAACUUGGUAGUGUAUUUGAUUCAUAUUGUACUAAAGUCUAUGAAUAAGGGUGAACACUUUGAAUAGAUAGGGCCUACGCCCCGUACGCAAAGUCGCUAUAGACAAGGAUAGGAGAAACCCCGUCUCAUCAUUCCUUAUUACUUAAGGCUCGUAUCGUACAAUUUAAAUUGAAUAUACCAAGUGUUGACCUUUGAUUUAUCCUGUAUACCCACUACUUGAUGUGACUGAGGAUGCAUUGAUCGAGAAUCUUGACUUGAGGCUUUGAGCUCCACAGCUUGCGGAAAAAAGUCUUAUUAAGUGACCAAGGGUCUUUUGGUCUCUAAAAAUUAGAUUGUGGGAUUAUACAAGUUCAAAGGAUUUAAUUGAUCAAAAUUGCUUUUGAUCAAUUCGAAUCAUGAGUUUGAAACAAUUGGAAAUUAAGAUUAAUUAUAAUCUAAGGGUUAGAAAUGAUCAAUCUAGCCUAAAGGAGCAUGUUAUAGUUAGUCAUAAAUUUUGAUUAAAAUUCUAUGUACCAAUUCUUAGGAAACAUGCAAUUGUUGGUCAAGGUUUGAUUAAAAUUCUAUGUCAAAUUCUAAUCCUAAAGGAAACAUAUGCUUCUAUGGCUAAAAUGACAAAACAAGCCCUUAAGGGGCAAAAUGGUCAUCUCAUCAAAUAUAUUCAACUAUUAGCAUAAAUUAUAUUCUAGUCAAAAUAUAAGUAUGGCCUAAGAUUGUAAUCGGAUUCUAACGAUAUCCUAAUCAAAAAUCAAUUAAAUUCUAAUGACAAUUAAAUUCUAAAAUCAAUUAAAUUCUAAGUUCCAUUAAAUUCUAAAAUCAAUUAAAUUCUAAAAUCAAUUAAAUCCUAAGUGAAAAUGUAUUUCUAAAGAAACUAAAAUCAAACCUAAUUGGUAGUUAACUCUAAUCCUAAUUGUUAAUCAAACUUAUUAAUGGUUAAUCAAAAAAUAAUUUUUAAUUAACAAAAGAUAAAUAGAGUUAAGCCCAGCAACAAAAUUAAGCCCAGCAGUUACAUUGGGCUUCGCAGGAGGGGGUGUAGGCUGAAUUUGUGGAUGGUUGAGAGAUUCACAUGGGCCUCACAGUAGAGGCCCGUCACUUUGUCCAGGACAUGCUGUUGGGGGUGUGAUCUGCCGAAUGGAAGUAUGGGGAGGUGAACGCUUGCCCAAGCUCCAAAUGUUCACAUUUUCCAAAACCGGGUCAUGAACCAGAACUCUACACUCACAAGCUUUGUCCCCAAAUUACUAGCUAGGUCGAACAUAAUCAGUAUGCCUUCCAUCCAGAACAAGAAUUUCGCGCAAUACGUACGAGCAUCACGGCCAUAAAUUCAAACGAAAAGCUCGAAACGAGACUCACCUUGAUGUCCGGUAUUCUUCUGUUCGCGGUUGAUCGAGACGAAGAUGAAGUCGUCGGAUUCAGAUUCGUGUGCUUCUUUAUGUGUUUCGUUGAUUGAGACGAUGAUGGAGAAGUCGCGUCGGAGUGUGUUGUGAAGAGGAUUGAAGGCGGCGACGAGGUUUGAAGGUGGCGACGAGGAUUGAAGGUGGAAUUGUAAUGCGAAGAUGAAGGUUUCUCUGAAAUUAGUGAGCUCCUUUCGUUCCAAUCUUCUUCGAUUCUCUCACACCUGCUUCUCCUUGGAUCUUGGUUUCGCUUCUGGAUGCGGAUGGUUUACGUUCUUUGCAUGUUUCUUCUGGCCGAUGGGUUUUGCAGGGCUCGAAGACUUGAGAGAAGGAGAAGGUUUGAAGGUUCUGUUAUGGUGGUUAUAGGAUUUUGCAGAGUGAUGAUAAAGGAUUUCAAUUGAUAUGAGGGAUUCACCGAAUGAUCAAGAGAAUCGAAUUAAUGCCAAGGUAUGUGGAUUUAUAGGAUUCAAUUUCUGUUAGAAAUUCAAAUGAAACUCAUAUUGAAACUCAGAGUUGGUUAGAAAUGCAGUUGGUUAGAAAUGCGGUGGGUUAGAAAUUCAAAUUGAAAUGUAAAUUCAAAUCUAAAUGAAAUUCCUUUCCCUGCUUUUUGACCUACACUCUGUUAAAUGUUCAUUAAGUGAAAAAUCAGUUGGUUAGUUCCUUUUUUAAAUGAGAUUCAAAUUCAAAUGCACUGCUAGUGAAAUUCAAAUGCACUGCUAGUGAAAUUCAAAUGAAAUAACCUCCUGUUUUAAUGAAAUGCACAACUAUUAUGUUUAUUGUGUAGGUUAGUGAAAAUUAGUAGGAAUUCCAUCACAGUUAGAAACAAAUAUAUGUUGAAGAAAUGCCAUGUUGAUAUUGUGCAUUGUGGUGUAUUGUACUUGUUCUGCUAUGAUGUGUUGUAGGCCUGUUGCAUAUGAUUUUUUUCUUUGUUUUGGUUUGUAGGAAAUACUUUUGGAAUGUUAAACUAUUAACUAACUUCUAUUAGUUAUUAAUUUAUGUUAAAUGCAAUGGUUAAGUGUUAUUGGUUUAGAAGAGUGACAUUAAUUGUGAUGUGAGUUGAAAUUGGAGGAGAAUUUGGUUUUGAUGUUGACUUGUCAUGUGAGGUUAGAACUGCUGUUACGCAUUACUCUAGGGGUUAUUUUCAUCUGCAAUUCUGAACAGGGUUAAUUGUGAGGUUAGAAAAUCAAUUCCAGGUUCUGUUAGUAUUAAAAAAAAGGUUGAGUUAGUUGGUACCGUAAGUUCAGUUAGUGAUUUAGUUACGAAACGUAAUGAUUGAAAACAACAGAAAAUGAUUUGAAUUCUGCCUAUGUUUGGUGAUAUACCGUAGGACUCAGUUAUUGCUCUAUUUAGCUUACUAAUUAUCUAUUCCAAUUUGUUCGUGGUUGGUUUAAUUGGUGCGUUAAAAAACUGUUUUGUAGGUUGGAAGUUUGCGAACGGCCAUUAGAUUAAGGUGACCGGCCAACGCAGGUAUCCUCUCAAAUUGCCGAUUUUGGUAGUUGAUUAGUAGAGUUAAAGUUGUGAUAGUUGUUAGAAGUUGGCUCAGGUUAAUUGUUAGCUUGUUUGAUGCACAUGGAUGAAUUUGGUAUGUCAUGGCCAUGAAUGUAGAUGCUUUGAGUGGCGGGUCUGUUAUGCUUGGUAUGCCGGCCAUGUGAAUUACAAGGCUAACGUAUGCUUUGUUUAGUAAUGCAGAAACUUGGUACGUUAUGAUGUUUUAUUAUUGCUGACUAUUACAGAUUGCCAGGUUGGUAUGUGAAUGGAUUUUAUGCCGAUGAAUGAUUGUGUAUUGCCAUGAGUUGUCUUAUGUAUGUGAAAUAUAACCAUGGGUCUAACUUUGAAUGAUUUUGCAGUGCAUGAUUAUGAUGCCGUUAUGAUGACAAGCUACAAGUUUUUGUUUUAUUGGAUUUGUCAAUUGCUGGAUUAUAGUUAUGAUGCAGUUGAAUGGUUAACUAAGGAUACACAUGAGGUUGAUAUAUUAGCAUUGUUAGAACUAUACAAAAGCCAAUUAAAACUAUGCUAAUCUAAGUCACUUGGAUUGAAUGCUAAAACUUGGUUAUAAUGCUAUGCUAGUUACUUUAGUUAUGAGUCUUAUGCCAUGUUGGUGCGAACUUGUUUAGCUUUAGAAUUGAUGUAUGCAUACCAUUGUGAUGAUGAUAGAUGGGAAGAUGUUUUGCAUUUCAACAUUUGGUGUAUGGUAUGGUAUGACAUGCUAAAUUGAACUAGAUUAUGAAUGAGUUCAUGGUGUGUUUGAGAUAACAUGUAUGGUUAAUGCUAUCUUGCUUGGUUUAUUGGCACGGUUAAUGUAACUUGGUGAUAAUGCCAACAAUUUGGUUUGCUUUUUGUAGGAUGUGCGAACACGAAAUGAUGGAAAUCAAGGUGUAGCUUCUAUUUGAAGAAAAUGGUGAAAGUUUGGAUCAUUGUGUCAUGGAGUUAGAUGUAUUUGGACUUGUCAUAUUUUCUUUUUUUGUUAUAAAUUAGUAGUUUGGAGUUGACAUGUUGUAAUGGUUGGAAACUUGUAGCUUGAAAUGUAUGGUUGUAGUUAUGUAACUUGAAAAAUUGAAUGCAUGGUAUUCACGGUUGUAAUAAUAUGAGAAAAUUGUAUGGAAAUGUACAUGGUUAGUUCAUGAAAAUGUAAAUCGAAAUGGUUAGAAAUUGUAAUGAAUAAAUGGUUAGAUGAAAUAUUUCGAAUUGAAGUGUUGUAAUGGGGAUAGGGACAAUGUAUUUGUGUGGUUGGCAAUUGGAAUUCAUUUGCACAUGGUUGAAAUUGGAAUGGUUUUAAUGGUUUAUGUAUUUGGAAGUUGUAUAGAACCAUGUAUGUUGGUUUAUGAUAUGCAAUGCUUGUGAAGCAAAUGCCCAUGUAUGGUUCAAGAUGCUUGUAAGUAUAACAAAAUUGUGAUGAUAUGUUCAAGAUAUGACUCAAAACUCAACUUUCGCCACUUGUUUUUUGUAUGCCAUUUUUGUAUGACAUUGACCCUUGAAAUGAAAUGUGACUUAGUUUGAAAUAUGUAAUUGAAUAUUACAAUGUUGGUUUAUUGGAUUGAAGAUGAAUAUAAGAUUGCUGGAGUCAUUUUAGGCCAUGAUAGAAAUGUGAAAAUGACUAUGUAUUGCAAUGGUUAAAAAGGGGUAUGGUUUAAAAUGAUUAUGAACAAGAUGACUUAAAAUGAACAACAGACUUAAAAUGAACAACAAAAUGAAGGUGAUUUUGUCCAAAAUAGAUCAUGAAUUAAAUGAAAUUGACUUAGGUGGUUGAUGGAUAACAAGGUCAUAGUGAUUGAGGGAGGAAAGUAUGGAAGUUGACUUUGGUCAACUGAUUGACCAAAAAGUCAAUAGUUGUCCGAAAGUCAACUGAUGCAAAAAGAUGAUGAAAUAGACUUCUCUAAAAAUGCAUGUUUAAUAUGGAACCAUAAACCAAUUGGGACCAAUGUGAUGAAUCAAUGAAGUUUGGAGCAAUGAAGAUCAAUGGAAUCAAUGGAUGAGGCGACUUAGAUCAAGUGAGACCAAUGAUAAUGUGCAAUGGAAUGUGAAUGCAAGCAUGCUUGGAACUAAUCAAAACAAGCCAUGUACUAGGGUUUAGUAGCCAAAAUUCAAAUCCAAGUAUUCAAUCAAAGACCUCAAACCGAGAAGUAAUCAACAUGACCAAUGCACCAAAAUUCAAAUCCAAGUAUUCAAUCAAAGACCUCAAACCGAGAAGUAAUCAACAUGAGCAAUGCACCAAACCACAACUAGGGUUUUUAACCCUCCUCAAAGCAAGCCAUACAGUUUUCCAACAUGAGCAAUGAUUAGGGUUUCAACCCAAACAUAAAGCUCCACAAGCAACAUCUCAAACCAUGGGCCCACAGGUAGGGUUUGAAAGUCAAGUCAGGGGCAGAAGGUCAAACAUAAGAUCCCAAUAUAAUCAAGAUCAAGAACCAGGGUUUGGAUGCCUAGAUGAAUACCAUAGUGUAACCUUCAAGAAUCAGGGUCUUAAAAAGAAUCCAGUAAUUAGGGUUUCUUCACAUGGUGAACCAUACCACAGUCUUCAGGCCAAAAUCCAGAGUUUCAUUAGUUGUGAACCUUGAACCUAUGAUGUUUGUUAGCAUGUGUUGAUUAUGCAUAAAUGAUGCGCAUGAAUGAGGCAUGAAUUAGUAUAGAUGGAUCUUAAGUUAUAGGUUAGAUAAAAAACAAAAGGGGAGGGAAAAAUUUGGGGUACAACAAAGCGGAUUAUGUUUUGAUUUGUUUUUGCAAACACCUCCAACAAAGGAUUUGAUUUUUUUAAAUUCAAAUUUAAAUCUCUAAUUAAAUAAAUCUGAUCUUAUUCAAACAGUUUAACAAUUCUAACUAAUUACAUUGCAAAAAGAUAUUAACAAAUCACGUUGUACACAACCUAAAAAUAUGCGCAUAAUAGUUACAAUAUUGGCCUGCUGACAAGGGUCAGUUGUUGUACACAUGUUGGAACAUUUUGUCCCACACGUGUCCUUUCUUCACAAAAGCAUCUUGUACACUCCAUGUUCUUUUGCAUAAUGCAACCAAUCAAAAGGAACAACCUGUUGAAUUGGAAUAUGAGAGUUUAUCUAUUUUUUAUUAUCAUAUAUGUAUGUUGAUCAUAAUAUUGAUAAAUCUUGGAAGUUGAAAGGCAAGAUUGUUGAGAAGUCACCAAUUAACGAAUCUAUUGUAUAUAUGCCUAAAAAGUCCAAACAUGUUAUACUAAAUAAUGAAAAUGUGAAGGAAAUAGAAAAUUAUGAGUCUUUAAAUGUCAUGGUGAAUGAUCACUAUGUAGAUUUAUACAGGACAGGAAAUCAUAGUCAUGAGAAUGACAUAAAGAAUGAUAACUUUUUUUGGGGUCAUUCAACAAGAGAAUAAUGCCAAUUCUAAUAAGGAGCAUUUAUAAAAAAAACAAGCUCUUUGAAUGAAUAAGAAAUAGUAGUAGAGUUUGUGUUUCUUGAAAACGUGUGGUGUCACCUGCAAUUAUACAUGUUAUUUUAAAGUAUUAGGUGAUAUAAUAGUAAGGAUAUCGAACCCAUAGUGAAUGGUAAUAACUUAGAUUGAUUUGUAAAACUAUCUUUUGUAAAUGAGCAUGAGCAAUAAUAAUAAUAGUUGAUGAUUGUCAUAAGUUCAGUUUGUAAAGUAAGCAGUAGCAGAAAUACUUUGGUAAGAGUAAAUGAAAUCAAUAAUGGAAAAUAUGUUGGGCAAUAAUCCGUUAAUAUAAUUUGUCUAUUGUGUGUACAUGAUGUGUUAUGUCAUGCCAAAAGAGAUCAGAAUAUGAUCUUUUGGUGUAUUCAUACAACAUUGUCAACUUAUGUAAAUAACGCAAGGGGAUAAAUUCUUAAGCCUCACUUGUAAUUGUAAUGCAUGUAUGGUUUCAUUCUGAAUGUUCUCUAUGAUUGUAGAUCUUUAUGCCUAAAGUAGUUAUUCAAGUGAAUAGUCAUAUCUAAUAUAUUCAAUCACAUUUACCAUGAGUUCCACUUAUUGUUGGAUUCCUCACAACAACAAACUUUCAUCUUUUUCUAAGUUGAUCAGUCAAAGAAUCAGAUUUAUAACAUUAUAAUGCAUGAUAAAAUAAAGCACUAACAACACACCAUUUGACACAAAAGACUACUUCCUAUUAACUUCACAUUGCUCAACAUAAAGGAAUUUAGCUCAUGAUGAGCUUAGGGCAUACAUCAAUAUUGGAUCAUAAGCUAAACAUUCUUAAACACAUAAUAAAAAAGAAACGAAAACAGAGUAACUUCUUUGUUUACUUAGAAUCUUCAAUCAACAAGAGACCGGUUAUGUCAUGCCAGGUACUGGUAGCUUAUCCUUGAGAGGAUGAAAAGAAGAAUUCUCGACUUUCAUUCAGCUUACUCUAUUCACCAAAUUCCACUAAGUGUUUCUCUCUAUGAAACUAUGAACUUUUUUCACUUCCUCCAAGAGGUCCUUUUAUAGUAACUUUCAUCUAGGUUUUUGUGGUGUCUUGGAUCACAUGCUUUUUGGAUAUUCAUGAUUUAUGGCCCAAAAUAAUUAACAUGUUUCCCUAUAAUUCUCCCUUUUUCGUACCAUUAUAGAGCAAAGUAAAAUCAUCGUGUGGGAGACAAAGUGUCUUGCGGAAGGCUAGUGGCGUAGGUAGGCAGAUGACGGUGCGUUGCAGCAGUCCUUUGUAGCAGGGAGACAAGCUAGAUGUUGUAGGGGUUAUACUAUUGCACAAUGUUGUAUAUUUUAGUGCAUUGAUAUUAUUUAUUUUCUAUUUUAUUAAAAUGAACUUCAUCCUACUGAAUGUUUACUCUCUGUAACUUCCAUUACAUCACGUGCUCCACUUCUAGUUGGGGUUAAGAUGUUGCUCCAGUACUGUCGUUCUAGGACUCAUCAAAAUUUUCUCUACACAAGUAACAAACACAUAGAAACUCAUGAGUGGGAGAACCUAUUUAAUUCUUUACAAUUUACUUAAAAACAUAAAAAUACGCUAAAUUAAACUAGUAAAUGGAUGAGUUAAAAAGAUAAAACCAAGUGUUAAGGUUUAUAAUACCUCAUAAAAAGUGAGUUAUCAAAUUGCUAAUGAUUUGAAUGGGAAUUUGGUGAUUGAGAAAGAGAUAGUUGAUGAUAGAAUCAAGCAACCUUAUCCUUAUUUUAUGGUUAUGAAAAUAAUUGUAAGAAUUUGGUGAGAGAUCUCUAUCAUGGUUUUUAUUUGGAGAAAAAUAAUAACCUUUGGGUGAUGAAGACAAACCUUCUAAGCCAUAUCAGAAAGAGUUGACUGUGGUCGAGAAAAAAAGUUGGGGAAUGCAUAAACUUACUCAGUUUAGAAUAGAAUUUAACACUCGAGCAUAUCGGGUAAAUACAACACCACUAGAUGAAAUCCAUUUGUUGGAAUCUUAGAAGAGUAGAAAAGUUUGAUACUAAUAUGUGAUCAACAAAAGCAUGACUAAAUUUUGAUUGUUGAACCAAUGAUUCAUUAUGCUCAUUUCCCUAUUGAGUGUAUUAAAUAAGUCAUACUUAAGACAUUUCCAUUAAAUUUUAGAUAUAAUCAUGAUUCAAACCUAUGUUUUUUGUGCGUAAUAGAUAUGAAUCCCACUGUGAUGUGUUUAUCUAAGCAACAUGUAAUUUUUCCUAUAGAAAUGGAUCAAACUUAAUUCUUCAUUGCAGUUGUAUAUGCAAGUAUCUCUCAUGUGAUUCAAAGAAAGUUAUGAAAUAAACUCACUAAUCUUUAACAUGCAAAUUCUGGCCCUUGGUGCAUGCUAGAUGAUUUCAAUGCAGUUAUUGGAUCCCGUGAGAAAUUUGGUAGAUGCUCUCCAAACAAAACUUCCAUUAGUGAGUUUCUUAGUUGGGCAAGUCAAAAUGAACUUAUGCAUAUUAACACUAAUGGUAGCUACUACACUUGGACUAAUGGAAGGAAAUACGGUAUUUACUCUUUAGUGGUAUAGAUGGAGUAACACAUAUAAUUGUGGAAAAGAUUUGUAAAUAUAUAAUAGUGAUAAAUAUUAAAAUGAAUAAAUAGAUCAACAUAAAUAAAUAUAUAAAUAAAAUAUAAUAUUAUUGAUAUGCAAUAACAGUGUGUAUAAUUUUUAUGUUAUUAUAUGUUUAUAAAUAUUAAAUUUUAUUUUACUCACAUAAUAACUAUUAUGACCUGUUAAUAAUGCACGAUAAUUAAAUUUAUAAAAAAUAUUUUAUCGUCAAAUAAAAAAUAAGAAAAUCUCUAAAAAUUUAAUAUUCAAACUAAAAUACUUUCUUGUAAAAUAAAAACACGAAAAAUCUUGAUUAAGUAUCUAAAAUAAAAAAAUAUCACAAAAUAUAUUUUUAAAAUCUUAAUGUUAUAAACUCAAUCAAUUCCUUCCCUUAGCAAUUUUAUAACAUGAUUAUAUUAUUAUCUUCAUUUACUCUUUUUCUUAUUUACAAAUCAUUCACCCUUAUUAUUAUUUUUUGACAUAUUUAUCAUUUAGCCUUGAUAUAACGACAUUUAAAAGACAAAUUUUUGAAUUGGACAUUCAUCUAUUCAUCUAAGUCUAUAGGAAACUUAAAUUGAGAUGUAGAAGAGAGAGCUUUUGUGGUUAUUUUAUCUACUCACAUUAUUAGCAUCAAUUCUUAAAUAAUGCAGGAAUUUUUGUACGAAGCCUUUUAUUUUUGUUGCUUCCACGGCACUACCGGUCAAACCAUUAUAUGGAGGUGCAUUUAAGCCUCCUAAAGCAUCAUUUUGGGAUAUUCUCACUGAAGGCCAAAGAGUCACUCAGGUGAAGGAGAGAGUGAACAUGAUUAAAAAGAGACUUAUAAAAAUCUAUCUUGAAUGAGGAAAUCGAUUGCUACCAAAGGUCACGAUGGAUGAGAAAUUUUUUUAGGAACCGUGAAACCCUUGGAAGGAGGCGUUAGUCAUUAAAUUCCUUGGGAAAAAUGUUUGCCAUCAUUUGAUGAAGGAUGAGUUGAAGAAGAUGUGUAAACUUACCGGAGGUUUUAAGACCAUCGACGUUGAUAAUGGUUUCUUUAUUAUUAAGUGUGAACCAGUGGCGGAACUGAGGGGUGACGUGGGAAGGCCACGGCCACCCCUCAACUUUUUUUUUCCAUUCAUAUAUAUUAAAUUACUAAAACAUCCUUAUUUUAAAUUAAAAUUAAUUUUUAUUUUUUCUUUUUCAUUCAAAGUUAGUUAAAAUACAAAUAAGGUAAAAAGCUCUUACCUUUCCUUUCUUUUUCAUAUGAGUUUGCUACCGGCACUGGAAUCAGAACAAAUUAAAGUUCAGUGGCGGAGCCAGAUAAAAAAAUUUGGGAUGACCGCUAACGUAAAAUAAAGAUUAUAAAUAAAAUGUAAAUAGUAUUUUAAAUAAAACAUUAAAGUUAAAAUAAAUACAAAGUUAAUUACUAAACAAAAAUUUAAUUACAUGACUUAAAACAUCUUAAAGUAAUGUUUUACGCGUUCCGAGUGACUUGAAAUCGUCAAUAAUUGACUCCGAACUAAUGCUUGCACUAAUCUUUCCUUUCAAUAUAUACUGUCAUGCUAUCUCCAAGAAUCCAUCAUCCAUCUUGUUUCUCAACUUAGUCUUAAUAAUUUUCAUUGCUAAAAACGACCUCUCAGUUGUGGUUGUAGAAAUGGGAAGAGUCAUGAUAAGACGAAGUAGUCUAUCAAUCAGAAGUAAGUUUCAGCCUGUCCAGAUGCAACCAAACAUGAACAUAGCUCUUGAAUAGUUGAUAAAUUAUUCAAGUUGAUGCUUGACGAGCACAAAUAGAAAAUGUUUGGAGUUGAAAUUGCAAAUUAUUCUUCUCUUGAUCACUAAAAUCCAUAGGAUAAUAUUUUCAACUAAAAACAAAUAGUAUCAAUGCUAAAAGCUUUAUAUCCAUCCUUAGGAGAUAAAGAACAAGAAAGAGUUAACAAAUCCAUUACCUGCUCUGAAUCUGCUAUUCAACUCUUGUAACUGUUUGUCAAUGGUAGUGAAAAGAUUUCAACUUUAAAGUAAUGUGAAUUGUGACUUAAUUCUCUUCAAGACGGGAGCGUCCAAAUCUUGUGUUGAAUGAACAUUCAUAAGAUCAGGAAUCUCAAUACCAUACUUUUCACAACAAAGAUACCACUUUAGUAAACAAUAUAUCCCAACCAUUUCUCUCAAACCUUGAAUAAGAUGUUGUUUGAACGAACGCAAGUUCAUAGCAUUAACUACAUCUUGAUUUUUUUUUGUAAGGCUUGACGACAAGCAAUACUGUUAUUCCCAUGAUUUUCUUCAUCAAGUGCAAAAUAAAUAUAAAAUCAAAUGCCUUCAAGUAAUUGUAACACAACUAUCUGCAUCCCACAUGUGCAUAACUCCUCUAUUCUUUUGCAUUUUUUAAAAACAAACAAGUUGCUUCAAUACAUUUAUCAGCUAGAAAUUGAAUCGUAAUGUGAAUCUCCAACGAAGUCUCCAGCUCGUUUCAAUGACCAACUUGAUUUUCACUUUACCAACUUGAUCAUCGGAACAUUGAAACGAGCUGGAGAUACUCGUUGGGGAUCACAUUACGAUUCAAUUUCUAGCUUGAUAAACAUGUAUGAAGCAACUUGUUUAGUUUUAAAAAAAACUUGCAAAAGAUAGAGGGAGUUAUGCUACACGUGGGAAUGCAAGAUAGUUGUUACAAUUACUUGAAGGCGUUUGAUUUUAUAUUUAUUUUGCACUUGAUGAAAGAAAUCAUGGGAAUAACAGAUAUGCUUUGUCAAGCCUUACACAAAAAAUCAAGAUGUAGUUAAUGCUAUGAACUUGGUUCGUUCAACAAACAUCUAUCAAGGUUUGAGAGAAAAUGGUUGGGAUAUAUUGUUUACUGAAGUGGUAUCUUUUGUGAAAAGCAUGGUAUUCGAGAUUCUGAUCUUAAUGAUAUUCAUUCAACAACAAGAUUUGGACGCUCCGUCUGAAGAGNNNNNNNNNNNNNNNNNNNNNNNNNAAACCGACCUCUCAGUUGUGGGGUAGAAAUGGGAAGAGUCAAUGAUAAGACGAAGUAGUCUAUCAAUCAAAGAAGUAAGUUUCAGCCUGUCCAGAUGCAACAAAACAUGAACAUACUCUUGAAUAGUGAUAAGAUUAUUCAAGUUGAUGCUGACAGCACAAUAGAAAAUGUUGGAGUUGACAAUUGCAAAUUUCAUUCUCUUGCAUCAGCUAAAACCAUAGAGAUAUUUUCAACUAAAAAACAAAUGUAUCAUGCCAAACUUUUUCCAUCCUAGGAGAUAAGAAACAAGAAAGAGUUAACAAAUCGCAUGACCUGUGCUCGAUGUGAAUCUGCUAUUGUGCAACUGCUUGUUAAACUGUUUGUCAAUGGUAGUGAAAAAGAUUCAACUUUAAAGUAAGUGAAUUGUGACUUAUUCUCUUCAAGACGGGAGCGUCAAAUCUUGUUGUGAAUGAACAUCAUUAAGCAUCAGAAUCUCGAAUACCAACUUUUCACAAAAGAUACCACUUUAGUAAACAAUAUAUCCCAACCAUUUUCUCUCAAACCUUGAAUAGAUGUUUGUUGAACGAACACCAAUUCAUAGCAUUAACUACAUCUUGAUUUUUUUGUAAGGCUUGACAAAGCAUAUAUGUAUUCCCAUGAUUUUUCAUCAAGUGCAAAAUAAAUAUAAAAUCAAAUGCCUUCAAGUAAUUGUAACAACUAUCGCAUCCCACAUGUAGCAUAACUCCCUCUAUCUUUGCAAUUUUAAAAACUAACAGUUCGCUUCAUACAUGUUAUCAAGCUAGAAAUGAAUCGUAAUGUGAUCUCCAACGAGUAUCUCCAGCUCGUUUCAAUGUACCAACUUGAUUUCACCAUUUACCAACGUGAUCAUGGAACAUUGAAACGAGCUGGAGAACUCGUUGGGGAUAUCCAUUACGAUCAAUUUCUAGCUUGAUAAAAUUGAUUGAAGCAACUUGUUUAGUUUUUAAAAAUAUGCAAAAGAUAGAGGGAGUUAUGCUCACGUGGGAAUGCAAUAGUUGUUACAAUUACUUGAAGGCUGUUGAUUUUAUAUAUUUGCACUUGAUGAAAGAAAUCAUGGGAAUAACAGUAGCUUGUCAAGCCUUACACAAAAAAUCAAGAUGCUAGUUAAUGCUCAUGAACUUGGUUCGUUCAACAACAUCUUAUCAAGGUUUGAGAGAAAUGUUGGGAUAUAUUGUUUACUGAAGUGGUAUCUUUUGUGAAAAGCCAUGGUAUUGGAUCCUGAUCUUAAUGAUAUUCAUCAACAACAAGAUUUGGACGCUCCCGUCUUGAAGAGAAUCAAGUCACAAUUCAACAUUACUUUAAAGUUGAAAUCUUUUUCACUACCAUUGACAAACAGUUACAAGAGUUGAAUAGCAAUUUGUAGCAGGUAAUGGAUUUGUUAACUCUUUCUUGUUCUUUAUCUCCUAAGGAUGGAUAUAAAGCUUUUAGCAUUGAUAUAUUUGUUUUUAGUUGAAAUAUUAUCCUAUGGAUUUUAGUGAUCAGAGAAGAAUAAUUUGCAUUUCAACUCCAACAUUUUCAUUUGUUGCUCGUAAGCAUCAAACUUGAAUAAUUUAUCAACUAUUCAAGAGACUAUGUUCAUGUUUGGUUGCAUCUGACAGGCUGAAACUUACUUCUGAUUGAUAGACUACUUCGUCUUAUCAUGACUCUUCCAUUUCUACAACCACAACUGAGAGGUCUUUUUUAGCAAAUGAAAAUUAUUAAGACUAAGUUGAGAAACAAGAUGGAUGAUGGAUUCUUGAGAUGACAUGACAGUAUAUAUUGAAAGGAAGAUUAGUGCAAGCAUUAGUUCGGAGUCAAUUAUGACGAUUUCAAGUCACUCGGAACGCGUAAAACACACUUUUACUUUAAGGUAGUUUUAAGUCAUGUAAUUUAAAUUUUUAGUAAUUAACUUUGUAUUUAUUUUAACUUUAAUGUUUUAUUUAAAAUACUAUUUAUAUUUUAUUUAUAAUCUUUAUUUUAUGUUAGCGGCCAUCCCAAAUUUUGUUAUCUGGCUCCGCCACUGGUGUGAACUGCUCGUAGAUAGGGAGAAAAUCAUGUCAUAAGGCUCGUGGAUGUUGUUUAACCAUUAUUUAGAAAUGACUCGAUGGAUUAUAAAAUUUGCAUUUCCUCUUGCAAGAGUGGAGAAGACUCUGGUUUGGAUUCGAUUUCUAGGGCUUAACUUAUUGUAUUACGAUGAAAGUGUCUUUCUUAGUUUGACAUCUAUUUUGGGUACUCCUAUUAAGGUAGAUACUAAUACCCUGAAUAUAGAGAGGGGAAGGUUUGCAAGAAUUUGCAUGGAGAUUGAUCUGACCUUGUCGGUUGUCAGAAAGGUCAAUGUUAAUGGCCAUUGGUACAACAUACAAUAUGAAAGCCUUCAUAUUAUUUUCUCCAAUUGUGGAUGUUAUGCACAUCACACCCGUGAUUGUAAAAAACAUUGCAUAAUUUGAUACAGUCGAUCGUUCCUACGGUGGAACAACCAAUAGGUCCGUCGGAAAACGAUGAUGUCCAUGAGUAAAGUCAAUGGGAACUGCACCAAGAAGUGGGCGAUGAUAGUGCCGAAAUUGUAGCAAAAGAAUCUAGAGAAAUAAGUUAAGUUCAUGGUGAUUAGCUAGUAGUGCAGAGGAAAAAUGUAAUAAAAGAGUCAGUUAUGGUCCAGAGAAAACUUUAUACAAUAAUGUGUCUAGAGAUUUGGGGAGUUCGAAAAUCAGGGGGAUUGAUGUUUCCUUAAAAGGAAUAAGCGUUGAUAGCAAAAUUGUUGGGCCCAAUUAACUUGACACAGUUUCCAAGAAAUUAUUAUUUAAUAAGAGUGGAUCCAUUCCAGAUGUGCGUCGGCUAACACGUAGAGGGGAACCACGCGUUAAGGCUAAGUCUCCCAUUUUUGGAACCACUUCAUGCUAUUAGUGGUUAUUCUCACAAAACUGGGCCAACUUUUAAUUCUUGCCCAACACAAAAGGGUGUGCCUAGCACUGCUAAAAAUAGCUCAGUCGGUCUUAUAGUAAAUUUGGUUUUGGACACCAUCACAUGUAGGGGUGGCAAAACAGGCUCGGCCCGUCGAACAUGCCUGUUUUUCCUACACUUUUUUGCAGGGAGGGCCAAAGUUUUAGGACCACACCCUCUAAUAUGUUUGCUGCGACCUGCCUCAUUUUUUGCAAGCUUUUGUGGGAGUGGUCAUUAACAUGAAAAUUUGAACAAUAUAGGCUUAAAAGGUGCAAUGCCCGCGUGAUCACAUUGCACUCAAUUUUUGCAGGGUGGGGCACGUUAGAACAAGAUUUAUUCACAUCCCUUGGGUCUUGAUGAUAACAAAGUAUUUAAAGAACAAUUGGGUAUACUAAUAUAUGUUCAAGUGUGCAGGAUCAUAAAGCUUAAAGUUACUCAUAAUUGACCUUGCUAAAAGCAUUUGUUGACAAGUUGAAUGUCUCAGAUCCCGAUGGAUCAUAAUUUGAUGACUAUGAAGGAUCAAACUCUAAACAUGGUGGUUCAACUUUUGAAGGUUGACACUAUGAUCAUGGCACUCCUGCCUUUGGUGAUAACUCAGACUCUGGAUACCUCAGCUUGAAAAUCUCAGCCUCUGAUCCAUACCAUAUCCUUAUAGCAAACCUAUCUUUUCAACACCAGACUUAGGGAAAAGUCAACUAGAGUCCCUUAGUGCAAGGCUUAAGGAAAGCUGAUGCGACUUGUCUAGUUCGCCCAUCGUCUGGUUUAUACAUAGUAUGAAAAAUAGAUGCACUGGACUAUGCUGUUACACAUUGGUUAAAGGUCUUAACAAGAUUCAUCUUCCAAUGUCUCUCUCUUGGAGCUGAUGUAUUUUGAAGUUCUCUUGUGCAAACAACUUUCCAGUGACUCUUUUUCCGCCUUUAUAAAAGGAUGCUGAAGAUUUGAAGGAAGGUUAACAAUAACUACACAAUCUAAUAGAAUGCGAUGAGUAUAAACUUUGAGCUAAAGUUUCAUCUGUUUAUUUCCAUAAGCUCUGAAGAUUUCUUAUCUUUGUCUAUCUUAUAAAUCUUAAGUAUUAAGAAAUAUUAUGGUUGUUGUAACACUUAUAUAAUUUUGAUUGUGUAUCAAAGUAUAUAUGUAAUCAUUUCUACUAAAUUAUUUGUUUAAAGUAGAGUAAGUCUCUUGCAAGGUUACUUGAGCAGUGAAGUAUCUUUAUAGUGUUAUUAAGCAGAAGUCUCUUUCUGGAUUGAUUGAGCAAUUGAAGUCUCUUUCUAGUUUGAUUGAGCAAAGUCGUAAUCAGUUUGAUUAUAGUGAAAAUCUCUUGUUGUAUAAGGGGAUUAGACUACUAUCAGUUUAGGAGAGGAACCAGGAUAAACUCUUUGUGUUAAUUUGUUUAUUGCUUAUGAACUUUAUUAUUAUUCCGCUACCAUUGACAUUAUGAUAUCAGACUCUAAACUUAUCCAGAUUCUGAAGUUGUUCAUCAGAAGUGAAAAAGAUUAUGAAUACACAAUUUAACCCCCCCCCCCUUCUUGUGUAUUUUUCUCACCUUUAGUUGGCAUCAGAGCCUAGUAUGUGAUAAACACUUUACAAUGGUACAAAAAACAUCCUAAAGAGAAAAAUAUAUUAAAGAUGUCUGGCUCCCAUCCUAGUAUUUAGUUUGGUAGUCGUGGUAUACCCUAUGGCUAUGGUAUUACUGAGAAAGGUCAUUACUCGGCUAGAUCACCUACAUUCAGUGGUGACUCCACUCAGUUUUAAUGGUGGAAAACUAAAAUGUAUACUUAUAUCAUUGGUAUUGAUGAUGAGUUUUAGGAUAUCCUUGAAUAAGGCAUUAAAAUUUGAUUUUAAUGGUGUUGGAAUGGUAAAAGACAGAAGAACUCUCACACCUAAUUGAAGCUAGCGGAAAUAUACCCGAACGUGUCACACACUCGAACAUACAACAGAGUCGCCAUCGAACUUUAUUUAUUCCCAAAGGAAAGGGAAAACAUCGAUAAAACCCGAGGGAAAUAGAUAUGUUGGGUAAGGAAGUCGGUUAUGCAAGGGGAAUGUAUUAACACCCCGAACAUCCAUGGUACUCCAUAGGAAUCGUUUUGAUUGUUCUCACUUGAAUAUGUGUGAUAUCUAAAGAUUACUCGCAAAAGAAUGGGAAAAGGGAAGAGAAGUAGAUAAAGUGCUUGGUGAGGAUUAGGGCCCUCAUGCCUAAGUAUCCUCAUAGUGCAAUGAGGAAUUCAGAGCUCCGUAGUUCAGAGAACUAAUGGUAGGAAGUGAAAAGAAGUGUGAUCAUAGUAUGGUAUGAAUCAAAGAAUUAUGUUUUGAACUCCAACAAGGGUGAAAAGGUGAACCCAAGAGUAAGAUGACUAUUACUAAUACGUGGACUAGCAGGACGCCGUUGUAGGGUAAAGCCGAAAAGGAAGGAAUUAAGUGUUUAAGGUUGUAGCCCAAACAUCUUUUGGUUCACAAGGUGACGCAAUAAGGAGCACAAAUAGGUAGUGUAUUUGGCUCAAAGAUAAUUUAUGUAUCAAAUGAAGUGAAUGAAGGUAGAAUAUGAAUGCAUCGAUGGAGAUGAACGGAAGAGGUGAACGAAGUCAAAGAAAUAAAUAUCUGGUGACAAGUGACUGGAGAAGUAUUGUUUGAAACCGAAAGGUGAAAGUGUGUUGGAAUCCAUAAGAUAAAUAUGAUUUCUACCAUAGAGGGAAACAACUUUAACCGGUACGUGGACCAACAGGCCGCCACUGUAGGGUGUUUAGCCAAAAAGAAGGAAUUAAGUGUUUGAGAUUGUAGCCCAAACAACUCUAGGUGGAAAGGCAGACUAUUCGCUAUACGUCCUAAAAGGGUAUAUAUGAAAUCCCAAUGAAAGUGUAUUUCGAUGUCAAAGGAAUAAUAUGUCAUUGGGUGAACAAUUUUUGAUCGAAGGUAGAUAACGAAUAGUGUAAGAUAUGAGUGAUGCCCUAAGGCGAAGGAGGAAUAAUUAGAAGUAUGCUCGCCAAGGAUUCACAUCCUUGUGCCUACGUAUUCUCAUCAUGCAAUGAGAAAGUCAGAACAAUCGUAGUUCGGAACUACGAGAAUAGAAAGAAGAGACAUUUGUCUAAGCAACGGGGGCUCACAAGACAGACACCACUCCAGGGAUGGUUGCAGUACGGCAAUACAAAGAAUAGUAUACCACUCGCUGGGGAAACAAAAAGUUCGAGAUCAACGAAGGAUAGUAUCUUGGAUCCAAUAAGGAGAUAAACCCUGAAUCGAAGAGCAAGGUAGGCAUUUACCAAUAUGUGGACUACGACUAAUCUGAACUGAUAGGUAAUGACUAAAGCUAAUGACUAAGAAAUAGGCAGGCGACCCUUGCAUGGAAUAGAUGAGGAUUGGCUGAUCGGAAUUGAGGUGAUAUGAACGGAGAGAGAAGAAUCUAUGUUGUUCUCUCUUGUUGACGAAGACUUUAUCAAUUAUUUGUUUCGAAUUGCACUAAAGUCUAUGAAUAGAGGUGAAUAUGACGAGUGUUGGGUCAUUCGUCCCAUACCCAAAUAUACUCAGAAUGGGGGUAGGAAUUCUCCAAUCCCACUCCUUCUCUAUUGCUUAAGGCUCGUAUCAUACAACUCGAUUCAGAAUUAAUAAGUUGUUGAUGUAGUCCUUGCUUGUUACAUGAUGCUUUAUGAAGAGAGAGAGAGAGAGAGAGAGAGAGAGAGNAGAGAGAGAGAGAGAGAGAGAGAGAGAGAGAGAGAGAGAGAGUUGUCAAUCGUAUGAUUAGAGUUGUGCUAAAUUCUAUGAAUAAAGGUGAAUACGAUGAGCGCUGGGUCAUUCGUCCCAUAUCCAAAGAUACUCAGAAUGGGGUAGGAAUACUCCAGUCCCACUCCUUCCCUAUUGCUUAAGGCUCGUGCUACACACUUCUAACUUCGAUUUGACAAGUUUUUUUAGUUUCCACCUUUGAUUUCUUGUAUUAUCCGCUGCUUGGUAUGACUGAGGAUGCCUUGAUUGGAGAAUCCGACUUGAGGCUUUGAGCUCCACAACUUAUAUAAAAGUCUUAUUAAGUGACCAAGGGUUUUUGGGCCACUCAGUUUAGAUUGUGGAAUUAUACAAGUUCAAAGGAUUUAAUUAAUCAAAAUUUCUUUUGACCAAUUUAAUCAUGGGUUUGAUUUGAUUGGAAAAACUAGGUAAGACCUAAUCUAGUGGUUAAAAUUAGUCACACUAAUCUAAGGGAUCAUGUCAUGAUUAGUAAAAAAUUAGAUUAAAAGUCUAUUUAAAAUUCAUAAGGGAAUAUGCAAUUGUUAGGAAUUGAUUAAAACUCUAAUGUCAAGUUCUAGUCCUAGAGGAGCAUGUGAUUAUAAGAGUAAAAUGUCCAAAAUUACCCCUAAAAGGUAAAAAGGUCUUUUGACAAAUUUUAUCGAAUAUAAAUUUCUAAUUAUGCAAAUUCUAGUUGUACUCCUAAUUGGUCCAAUUAACCUAAAUUCUAUCAAUAAAAGUUAUCUAAUUAACAAAGGAAAUAUCAAACAAAAUAAAUAAAAUAGGAGGGCCUUUCCAAAACAGAGGGUGCAUGCCUGAUUUGGAUGCAUGCAGGGAAAAGAGGGAAAAACAGGGUCCAAAUGUAUGGGCUUCAGCUACCAAAGCCCGAUGUUGAACAAGUUCUCUUCAGCCAGAGGGUUGCAGUAGGAAAUUGGAGUGAGAUAGUAUUGCGUUAGGCUUGGAAUGUGACAAGCCCAAACAGAAAAUAAGCCCAAAGAUUGGGGGCUAGCUUGAAAAAGAAAACCAGUAAAAUUUGAAUAUGCAUACACGCUCUUUUCCAUGGCAUUUCAGACCGCCGGUGCCGGACCUCCACCGCGUACCACUGCAUUGUAAAUCCCUUCCGAUGGUGGUGACUACCGGAAAUGAAAAGCGGAAACACCUCCAUCUUCGUCUCCAUCUCCUGAACAAGGAUCUAAACUCCAAACUCUCCAAUUUCUGGCCUAAAUUCAAUAUCUGAGACCAAAUCCUCAAGAAUCCCUAAAAACUCAGAUAUACAAUACAUCUCCAUAAACAAGAUUCGAAGCUCCUUAUGAUAGGGGUUUACAAUAAUAUGGUGUAAUUUUCAGCACAGCAACCAAAAAUGCAAUGAAAAAUGACCUACCUCCAAAGCAGAGAAUCACUCCGGCGAGUGUUGAUCGGAGAAGAUGAAGACGGAAAAUCACUUGUAGGUAAGAUAUUGCCUUUGUUUUUGGUUUAGGAGUACUCCAAUUCUUCUUCUUAAAAAAUACUAUAGUGUGAUGAGAUUGAGCUCACUCUUCUUGAAGCUUCAAUGGAGUUUGGGAAAUUGAGCUUUGAGUGUGAGAGGGAGAAGAUUCAGAGAAAGAUUGCAGAGAAUUGAAGGUGAUGAAUGCAAAAAGGUUGAAAAAAGGUUGAGAGUUUCAAAUGAUGAUGAAGAUGAGAAUUUAUAGUGAUUAGGCUUGGGAUUAAUGUGGCUCAGAGUUAGGCUUGAAGUUAGUUAAAUGAGGUCUGGAGUUAGUUAACUGAGGUCUGUGGAGUUAGUUGGGAUGAACUCAAUGAGUUUAGGUAGGUAACUCACUGAGUUGGAAGUUAGUUAAUUGGUUAACUUAAUGGAAUAAUUUCAAAUGGUGGUUUCAUGACUGGCUAGUGCAGGUGAAAAUUUGAAUGAAAUUAGGCUUUGAUGUUGGCUAAUGACAUGCUAUUUAUUUGAUUUAGGUGUGGGUGACUUGCAGCUGUAGGUUACUCAUUAUGCGGUUAUGUUGUGUAAGAGUGAUUUUGGGUUAUGUUGUGUUUGUGCAGGUUCAAGAGUUUGUGAAAUUCACUGCACUUGGUUUGCUGCAGAUUUACUGUGUUCAAAAUGUGUGUUGUUGAAGCUUGAUGAAGUGCUGAACCUUGGAGUGUUGUCGAAUGCUCACGGUUUUUUCCGGUGUUUAUGCAGGUUUGCAUUUGUCAUGAAUCACAAGCCUUGGUUAUCUUCAAUGAUGAGAGAUCAAGUUUAAAUCCCACAAGUUCCAUUCUCACAACAAUGCAAAAUUCCUGCAAAACGAGCUAUGAGUCGACUCAAACAGGGAAUGAGUCAACUCAAACAGAGUCUCUCCCAUGGUUGAGUUGACCUGUCCGGACCCGCGACGAAAUGAAUCAUAGGAAAACUGGAAAUGAGUCGACGCAAGUAGUGAAUGAGUCGACUCAAUCAGGAUUUCCCAGAUUGAGUCGACCUGGGAGUCGACCUGUUCCGACCCGAGGGAACACAGUUUAAGAAAGAAUAAGAAUGAGUCAACGUGAAGAGUGAGUGAGUCGACUCACUCAAGUUCCCCAAAAUUGAGUCGACCUGUGGGUCGACCUGUUCGGACCCGAGGGUUUUGCACCGAGUCAUGAGUCGACUCACAGAGUUGAAACCUCCAAAAAUGAAUUUUUUGCAAUGUAUUACACUUUUUUUGCACCUUUUUUUGUAUGUAAUAAUAUUUUCGGGAUGAAAAUGAAUGGAUUUGACCCAUUGAAUGAAAUACUUGACUUAAUACAUGAUCAUGACCAUAAACUCAAACCCAAGAUCUAUAACUGACACAUGGAAGCGAGGGACGUGAACCUAUGGACCAAGCAAUAAUGGUAUGACAAUGAUCAAGUGAAUGAAUGAAGGUGGAUGAAAUUUAUGAGACCAGAGACUCGGAUUAUGACCAAUAGACUCGAGCACCCAGGGGACAAAAUGAAUGGAUGUGCCUUGGUGCAAGUCCAAACCAAGCGUUCACAGUCAUUGUACCACAAACCAAAGCCCUGCAAGCCAAACACUUGAAAUCCAUGGUAAUGCAUGGAGUUUAUGCAUGAGUUAUUAAUGUGUGCAAUUUAACUCUUGGUCAAGUGGUUAGGUGGAUAUGUGAAGAAAAGGGGAGGACAAAUUUUGGGGUACAACACUAAUCAAAAGAAAAUUUACUUAAAACAUCAUAGAGUUAGAAGAAUUUUGAUAGAAGCUCUACCUCAUUCUGAAUAUAUCAAGAUCAUUAAUAAGUCAACUACUAAUACUAUCUUUGAGUUUUUGUGUUCCACUUGUGAAAGGAACUAACAAGUCAAAGAGGCUAAGGCCAACCUUCUUGUACUACAUUAUAAGUUAUUCAAAAUAAAGGAUGAUGAAGACAUUGAAAAACUAUGUUUUCUAGGUUUCAUGUUCUUGUAUCAGGCCUUCAGGUUUUGAGCAAAAGUUACACUACAUUUGACCAUGUUAAGAAGAUUUUGAGAAGUCUUCUGGAUAGAUACAGAACUAAGGUCAUAACUAUUUAAGAGGCUAAAGACUUGAAUACACUGAGCCUUGAAAGUAUGAUUAGAAACCUUCAGAUCCAUGAUAUGGAACUGAAUGGUGAUGAGCCUGGGAUGAAAUCUAAAACAUUAACAUUAAAGUCAGUUGCUGAAAAAAUUUGGUGGUAAAGCUGUCAGACCCAAAAAAGUCUGGAAAUCAGAAGAAGCUUCUGAUGGUGACUCUGAUAAGGAGAUGACCUUUAUCAUUAAGAGGUAUCAAUAAUUGAGAAAAAAGAAUAAGAGAUUCUCUGGUAAAAGCAGUGGCUUUAGAGGAUUUAGUUCCAAAGACAAAGCAGUUGAUCAAAAGAAUUGCUUCAAUUGCAGGAAGCAUGGUCAUUUCAAAGCUGACUGCUAUGUUCUAUAGAACGACAUACCAAAGAAAGGAAGCUUCCAGAAGGACAACUUCAGAAGCAAAUUCAAGAAGAGUGCCAUGGCAACAUGGGACAAACUUGAUAAUGAAGACAAUCCAAACAAAGAUGAAGGAGAAGUAAAUCUAGAGUUGAUGACUCUAAUAUCCUCUAACAUAAAAUAUGAAUCAACUUUUGAUUCAUAGUCAGACGAAGAAGACAAUGUAUUUUCUAAUCUAUCUUGUUCUGAUCUAAUAUCUUUUAUUCAAGACCUAAUGAGUCAUUUCCAGGACAAGGCAAAAAACAUGAAAACUUUAAAAAGCAAAAUGAUCUUCUGAAAGCAUAACUAAAGUCUUCUCAAGAUAAAAUUGAAUCUUUAGAAAAAGAUCAUAUUGCUUAAUUAAAGGAAAUGCCUAAUAAAUCUCUAAGUGAACAUGAAAUGGCUCUUCAAGAUUUUAUCAUAGCAGGUCUUGAGAGAACAAAACUUGCUUCCAUAAUAUAUGGAGCAAGUAAGAGCAAAGGAAAAUAAAUGGGUUAUAGUGAAGGAUGUUUUAAUCAAAACGCUAAACUCUUGAAAAAACCCUCAGACCCUUCUUCUUCAAGUAAUGCUUAAAUAAAGAUGGAAACUUAUUUUGUUCCUGCUUCUAAUAAAGGCAAAACUUUGAUCCCGUCAAAACCUGAGAUAACAUAAUCGAAGGUCCUAAUCAAAUCAGUACCUGAGACUUCAAAGUCAAAAGUCCUGAUAAGAUAAGAACCUAUCAUUCAAAAGUCAAAGGUUCUGAAGAAUCUAGAACCCAAAAAUAUCAAGUCAAAGGUUCUUAAAAUAUCAUAACCCAAGACUUAUGGAUCAAAGGUUCUGAAGGGUUCAGAAACCAAAGUCAAAGCUUAUCCUAGUUAAAACUUUUAUAAGAAAAAAGUCUAGAAUAAGCCUAGACCCUUUUAUCAAUCAAAGGCUCAAAAUAAAAGAAAGCUUAUCAGAACUAACAAUAGAGGACCCAUAAGAGUAUGAAAUUGUUUUUGCUGCCGAUAUGCCUAAAGGGAGAAACAAUAGAACAAGUAUGGUACCUAGAUAGAGGCUGCUCACGUCAUAUGACGGGAGAAAAUCAUAUGUUCCAAACCCUGACUCUGAAAGAGGAAGGAAGUGUGGGGUUUGGAGGAUGACAGAAAGGAAAGGUCAUUAGUACAUGUAUUAUUAGUAAUUCCUUAAUAUCUGUCAAUAAUGUUUGGUUAGUAUGUGGACUUAAACAUAACCUACUAAGCAUUAGUCAAUUUUGUGACAAUGGUUAUGAAAUCUUAUUUAAUAAGAACUUAUGUUCAGUUAUCAACGAGUCUGACAAAUCCAUCUUAUUCAAAGGUAAGAGGAAGGGAAGUGUUUAUAAAAUUAAUCUUUCUAAAUUGACUAAUCAGAAGGUAGUUUGCCUUAUGUUAGUGAGUUAUGAGAAAUGGGUCUGACAUAGAACGUUAGGUCAUGCUAAUUGGAGAUUGAUCUCCAAACUUAGAAAGCUACAAAGGGCUUCUAGAUAUUGACUAUCACUCAAAUGCUCUAUGUGGAGCAUGUCAAGUAGGAAACAUUAUCAAAAACUUAUUUUAAUUCUAAGAACAUUGUCUCUACCUCUAGACCUUUAGAAUUACAUUGAUUUAUUUAGUCCUUUGGGGACUGCUUCAAUCAAUGGAAAGAAGUAUGGAUUAAUCAUCGUUGAUGACUAUAACAGAUGGACUUGGGUUAAAUUCCUAAGAUCUAAAUAUGAAUCAUAUGAGAUAUUUAGCAAAUUCUAUACACAAGUUCAAUCUUAAAAGGAAUAAAUGGUUUUGAAAGUCAGAAGGGAUCAGGGUGGUGAGUUUGAAAAUGAGCCAUUUGAGAAAUUAUGUGAAAAAUAUGGAAUCAUACAUGAGUUCUCCUCUCCUAUAACUCCUCAAUAGAAUGAGGUUGUAGAAAUAAAAAACAGGUCCUUGCAAGAAAUGGCUAGAACAAUGAUCCAUGAAAAUCAUCUUCUAAAAUACUUGUGGGCAAAAGCUGUUAAUACAUAUUGUUGUGUUCAUAACAAGAUUUAUAUUAGACCAAUUAUGAACAAAACAUCAUAUGAAUUGUUUAAAGGAAGAAUGCUGAGCAUAUCUUAUUUUCAUCAAUUUGGUUGUACUUUUUAGAUGCUAGAGCUCAAAAGGGUAUCUUUUUAUGAUACUCUGAAUGCUCUAAAGCAUACAAGGUGUAUAACUCUGAAACCAUAAUGAUUGAAAAGUCUAUACAUGUCAAAUUUAAUGAAAAAGAGCCUGACUAUCAUAUGUCAACGCCUGUUGAAAGUUUUGAAAAUAUUCAGGUUUCUGAUAUCAUCUAGUGGUUGGACCUUCAGAAAUUAGGAGCUCAGGAGAUGGUGGCUUAGAUGCUGGUUUACCAGAAGCUGAUCCAAUUUCUGAAGCUAACUUAGAAGUUAAGGAUUCUGAAGAAACCCCUAAUUGUUCAUAAGUCUCAACUCAGGCCAAUAAGCCUUUCAAGUAUAAAGCUUAUCAUCUAGAAAAGCUAAUCAUUGGGAAUAAAGAUGAUCGCCUGAAAACUAGAUCAACAUUCAGAGAUGAUAAAUGUAUGCUAUGAUUCAUUUCCUUGAUAGAGUCAACUUUUGUUGAUGAAGCUUUAUCAGAUGAUGGGUGGAUUAUUAUUAUGCAAUAAGAGCUGAACCAGUUCCAGAGAAAUGAUGUUUGGGAUUUGGUCCCCAAACAAAGUGAGAAGAACAUUAUUGGAGUAAAAUGGGUGUUCAGAAACAAACUAAAUGAGAAUGGAGAAGUUUUAAGAAAUGAGGAUAGACUUGUAGCUCAAGGUUACAAUUAGUAUGAAGGUGUAGAUUUUUUUGAAACAUUUUCUCUUGAGGUAUGGUUAGAGACAAUCAAAUAUAUUCUCUCUUAUGCUAUUAAUCAUGAUAUUAUUUUAUAUCAAACGGAUGUCAAGAGUGACUUCUUAAAUGGAGUCAUUUCUAAAGAAGUGCAUGUCAAACAACUUCCUGGGUCCGAGGAUUCUCUCCAUCUAGAUUUUGUUUAUAAACUCAAGAAAUCACUCUAUUGACUGAAACAAGAUCCAAGAGCCUAAUAGGGAAAUUGGGUAGCUUCUUGUUGGAAAAAGGUUUCCAAAAAGGUUAGGUUGACACUACAUUAUUCUUAAAGACUCUGAAUAAGGAAAUCUUGAUUGUCCAAGUUUAUGUUGAUGACAUAAUGUUUGGUUCUACUAAUGCCUCUCCUUGCAAAGAAUUUUCUGAGACUAUGUAGGCUGAGUUUGAGAUAAUCAUGAUAGGAGAAUUAAAGUUCUUCUUAGGAAUUCAAAUCAAUCGAAGUAAAAAUGGAACGCAUGUUCAUCAGUACAAGUAUACAAAGGAGCUUCUGAAGAAGUUUAAUCUUGAGGACUACAAUAUCAUGAUAACUCCUAUGCAUCCAACUUGAUGUCUGAACAAAGAAGAAAGUAGAACCAAGGUGGAUAAGAAGCUAUAUAGAGGUAUGGUCAGUUCAUUACUUUAUCUCACAACUUCUAGCUCUGAUAUAUUGUUCAAUGUCUGCUUGUGUACAAGGUUUCAAUCAGAUCCUAGAGAAACUCACAUAAUUAUUGUUAAGAGAAUAUUUAGGUAUCUGAAAGGAACAACUAAUAUAGGACUUCUUUAUAAAAAAUUCCUAGAUUAUAAGCUAGUUUAAUUCUAUGAUGCUGAUUAUGUUAGGAAUAGAAUUGAAAGAAAAUACACUAGUGGAAACUGUCAAUUCAUAGGUGAAAACCUAAUAUCCUGGGCUAGUAAGUGUCAUACCCCAAUUUUGUCCGGCCAUUGUGGUUUACCCAUGAGAUCUCUUUGUUUCAAAGGCCCAUUUGCAUAAGCGUGUUCAUAAUCUAAAAUGUGGUUUGAAUCUUUUUACACUACUAAUCCAAAAUCUAUUUUCUUAUUAGUAAGUAUUAAGAGCCAUGUUAUUAUUUCUAUGAUCACUAUUUAUUGGUCCAUUUACACAUCCCAAAUAUUUAUGCCAAGUUCUAAGUCCUUCAUAGGUUCCUAAAUUAAAUUUGCAUUUUUUUAGGCAUGUAUGUGUUGGUUUUAAAUUAAAGCACCAUAUUUAGAUUCAUGUGUUAAAGUUAGAAUUGUGUUGUUUUUAAAUUAAAGCACCAUAUUUAGAUUCAUGUGUUGAAGUUAGAAUUGUGUUGUUUUUAAAUUAAAACACCAUAUUUAGAUUCAUGUGUUGAAGUUAGAAUUGUGUUUUUAAAUAAGUCACCAUAUUUGGGUCUUUGUGCCAUAGGUUGAAAGAUGUUGUUUUGGAUUAGAGUUGAAAAUUGCAAUGACAGUUUCAUUUUUAAACCCUUGGUCGCAGUUGUAUUUUGUUAAAAAAACACAUGCUAAAACAAACCUCUUAAGUUGAAUGACUAUAAUGGUCUAGAAGCAAACAAGUUUCUAAUUGAGCUAGAGUACAUGAUCAAUUCUUUAGAAACACCUUAAUGGAUUAAUAAAGAUAAAUAGUUAAAAUAAAAUUUGAUUGUUAAAAAAAAGAGAAGAUUAAUUACAUAAACAAUUUCUAAAACCUCACACGUUACAAACAAUUCAAGAGCAGUUGCAUAAUUAUCCAAAAUAAAAGUCCAAAUAACAAAAGCUGCUGCAACAAUGACAGGUUGAGAACAGAGCCUUUGAAGAACCAACGGCCAAAACCAUUCUUCAGGCCAAAACGCUCCUAAAUCCAAUUGCCUCAUAGAGUGGAUGCAGGCUUCAUUAAUCAGGUCACUUCACGUUGUAACCUGCAG
rnacentral:lncRNA from 1 species